rnacentral:lncRNA from 1 species
UUUAAAGAAGUUAGGGAAGACUGAUGGUUAACCGAUUUACGGUGGUUUGACCCAAAUCGGCACCUACUUCACUUCUCAAGACCAUUUGGUAUUUAUGGCCAUCCCACUAUUUUUGAAGUCUUAUAUAAAGGUUGGUUUAUAAUGGAGCCAACGCUCCUCUGCAAGCAAGGUGAAGUCAUUUACAAACAAUUUCUCUCACAAGAAGUUGAUUUGCAUAGUGAAUACAAGAGAGAUUUUGCAAGUAUUUUCAUGUACACACAUGCCCAAGACAAUGGCUGCCUUAUUUUUAGGAAUACAAACUCUCACGUCUAAUUUCCAUUGGUGGUAAAAAUCGGCUGAGAUUGGGCGAACGAAAUUCAAAUUUAAAUUGUCGAGCCGUGUAUUGGGCCAACUCUGGCCAGCUAUCCCACCAUUACUUAGCCAGGUACCUAGAUAUGCUUUUAGACAAACCCACUAUUUUUUAACCCUUUCCAACUUGCACAAACUUGCAGAAAACAUUUCCAUUGUGACGAUUAUAAAUAUACAAAAAAGAGUUUUGGAAUCAUCAAAAUUGAUUUAGGAUCAAUAGUGGCAACUUAUAAAUAAAAGGUGCAGCUUAAAAUUAUGUUUGACUGCCAAAAAUUUGAAUAUGAUAAAUGUAACAUUUAAACAGUUUAAUCUAUUGCAUGAAUUGGAGAAAAAGUAAUCUAGUAUCAGGUAACGAUUGAGGGUUUUUGUGAUGGGCUGUUUGCACUUCAUCUUCACUAAUGAGUAAUGAUACAAAGAAAAAAUUAUAGAAUUGUGAGGUUAUGACUAUCUACAAAAAUUUAAGUAUUUUAAAUCAGGUUUAAGAACCUUUAGCUUUAGUUAAAUUAUAUGAAUAAAAAAGGCAUUUGUCCAUUUUUCUUAACACGAUUGAUAGUAAAAUCUCGAAUUAGCCCAUUAAUUUGAUGCAUUUACUUAAAUGUAGAAUAUAAUUAUGAGGAGCAUAUGUUGAUAACCCUCUUAUUUAAGAUGUCAUCAGGCCGUUUGGUCAGCGAGGGUGUAUAGCCCUCACCUUGGCAUUGGCGACCUGCUGGCCUUCGCUGCUACCCCAUUAACGAUAGGGCGGUGGCCAUAGGUGGGAGGGAGUAGUGCAUUUUCCUUUUUUAAAGUUUUUUUUUUGUUUUUUUAUGAAAAGAAAAAAAGAAAGACAAAGGAAAAAUUUUAAAAGACGAAAUUUCCCUUCACAAACAAUAAGUUUAAACCCGUCUUUGAGAUUGAUAUGGGCACUCAGACCCUUAUUUAAAAUAAGAUUUUAUUUAUAUUUUUAUUUGAGAAAAUGAGAGCACUUUAAGCCAUUAUUUGAAAUAAUACCCGCUUCAAAUCCUUCUUUGAGAAGAUGCUGACACUUCAGGUUUUUAUUCGAAAUUUUUCUAAGGACUUGUUUACACUAGUUAAUCAACUAAUGUCAUUUCGAUAUCUAAUCUUGUUUAAACAUCAAUGUUUUAUUUUUAUUUUUUUGGAUUUUCAUGCACUUUCAAGAGAAAAAUACUCAAAAGCCAUUUUUAGGCCUUUUGCUAAUUAAAAAAAAAAAUUCUUCUGAUUUUUUAAUAAAAUAUUUUCAAAAUAUUAUAAUAAUAUUAUAAUAUACAAAAAAGGACCCAGGUUGGAACCCUCGGUGGGAACCGACCCGGGUCGCCUACCAGGGCCCCGUCUUGGCCUGAAAUGCAGGCCUAGUCCGGCAAACAAAAUGAACUAACCCUGGCCCAUUAAAGCAGAAUAAGCCCAAUAUGCCUAAAUCAUCCCAGCCCGAAUACCAAGCCCUAAAGACCUGACCCGGAUUCGAGACCUUACCCAGGCAGACCCGACUUUCUCUCCUGCCCCUGCCUCUCGCGGCGCUCUGUCGACCUCGCCCCGACGGGGGCGCCGCGGCGAGUGCGAUCGCUCGCCUCGGGCUGGCCACGCACCCAGUCCGGCAACGUCUCGACCAGCCCAGCCAGAGGGCCAGUUCUCGGCCGACCACCGUCGCCAGCCAAGAACCAGCUCGGCCACCCCUACUUCGGCCGAGAUUUGGCUCGGCCAGGCAUGGCUGGCAAAAGCCGCUCGACCCAAGGCCUCCCCAACGCCAUUUCCUCUGUCUCGGCCAUCCGCAUGACACCCAAACGGCGAGUAGACGAUUCGUCGGAGCUCGGGAACGGACUUUCUCAACGCGAACUUUUAGAUCUAGCUUAGGCAUCUCGUCAAGCGGAUGGCACGCAACGUGUUAGGGGGAUCAAGAUACCUGGUGAUAUCUGUUGCUCUUCAUCUUUUUGUUUCCCUCUAAUAUUACACACUAGUUCUCAACUAAUUAAUUUCUUAAUACCAAGUUGUGUGUUAACAAAGUUGUGAUUUUAUUUUGUCUUGUUUUGUUUGUGUUUAUCUAAUGGUCAUUUGCAAUUAUUGAUCUGGGCUAGUUGGACAGAACUGCAGUGAUGAUUUCCGUCCUCAUCAUUUCCCCCUUCUAUUAUACAAUUCUCAACAAAUCAAUUUCUCAAUUGCAAGUUUUUUCAUUGAUGAACAAUGAAUAUGCGUAUUUUUGUUGCAGGCAUACGUGCAGAGAGAGUUAGGACAAAAUAAUCUUUGUUCAAGUUGAAAAGUAGAGUCAAUAGUGCUCCAUAUAAAAAUGGCCCCCUACACCCCUUUACGAUUAAGUUGAAUAGAAAAAGCUACAUUGAAGAAUUAAGAAUCUAAGGUAAGAAGUAUUUUAUGGACCAAAAUUACAACCUUAAUAAUUUUACAAAAUUUAAUCCAUCAGAAUUUACGAAAAGUAUGGUUAAUUAAUGAUUAAUUGAUUUUCAAACAUGGCAGGAUAUAAAGUCAAUUUUAAAUAAACAUAGAAGGUGAAGAGGAGACGAGAGAGAAAAAAGUAGGGUGAAAUUGCGAUUGACCUUGUUUCCAAACAUAGAAGGUUAUUUUGAUCAAAUAAAAUAUUUAUCCCAAGCCAAAUAGGGCACAAAAAUAGCCACACCCUAUUUAUUAUAUUUAAAAUAAAGCAAGCAUCAAAAUUUUUACUUGGAGCAAUGUUAUACUUUAAUUUAGAGUUUCUCACAUUUGGAUGUGGCCAUUUUAAAGAAAUUAUAUUUUAAUCUAUGGUUGACACGGCAUUUGCUAAGCUAUAAGAAGCACCAGCUAUCAAAACAAGUGGUGGAUGGUAGAAACAUCAAAAUAAUUACUAGCUCCCUAAGAAGUACCUGGCAUGCUUUGAUUUGUAACCCUACUUUCUUCUUUCUUGUGAAAUCAUGAAAAUGAAAAGAAACGUUUUAAGCUUUGAAAUAUUGAGAAAAACUUCUAAAUGAUUCUGAAUUCAAAAGAAUCGACAACUGUUGAACUAGUAUGAAAGAAAACAUAGACAACAGGAACAAAAAAUGAAAAAAAAUUUAGGCUUCUAAUGCACAUGGUAGACCAGUAACGUGUUGCUUGCCCUCGUAAGAUCAUCUGCAAGUUCUCCACGUAAAAGAGUAACGGGUUACUUGGGUGCACCGAGCGCGGUGAGCCAUCAUUGAGCGACCAAGUUUUUUCCCAAAUAACUCUGCGUUCUAUGUUGCUCUUGUUGAUAUUCCCUAGUCUCUGUUUAUUUACAUCGCUCUUGCUUUCGUCUCUCUCUCUCUCUCUGGUUUUGUUUCACAGUUCUAACUGGUUAGCUCUGUUCUCGCUUCAGUUUCCCCCGCACCCAUUUGUUUAAGCGAAUAAUAAAAGGAGGCAACAAGAAGAGGAACAAAAGAAGGAAAGAAAAGGAAAUUCUAAAAAAUAAAGAAGAGAUUAUGGCCGAGGCAAUUGCUUGCCCCGUUGCAUCGAAUCUUUUGUCGAAACUCGGCGAGUGCCUAUUUGCUCCCAUUGGACGCCAAUUUGGGUACGUGCUAUGCUACAAGAGCUACGUCAACGAUCUCAAAAAUGGAGUCAAGGAGCUAGAGACUGCAUGGGAAAGGGUGCAGCACGACGUCCAAGACGCCAAGAAUAACGGAAAACCCAUAUACACCGAUGUUGAGAAUUGGCUGAAGAGUGUGAAGGAGGAGAUUGAGAAGGCAGAUAACCUGUUAAAAUGCGGUGAAAGUGCAAACAAUGCUUGCUUCCGUGGGUGGCUUCCCAAUCCCGUGGUGCGCCAUCCAAUUGGUAGGAAGGUGAUGAAGAUAACUAAAGUCAUUCAGGGACUCCAAGAGAAAAGCGGAAAUAAUAACUUCCAGAAGGUCUACCAUGAGAGUCCUCCGAUAGGAAUUGUCACUGCCACCACUUCCGUUGCAAGAUCUGUUUACAACAAAGAAGAUGUCUUGGAAUCCAGGGCCAAAAUCAUGGAGGAUGUAGUAAAGGCUGUAGUUGAUGACAAGGUCUAUGUGAUUGGGGUGUGGGGAGCAGGUGGAGUUGGCAAGUCCAAACUUUUGGAGGAUGUGGAAAGGCGAAUUAAGGAACAGAAGUUGUAUGAUGUGGUCGCCAAGGCAAAUAUAUCUCGCAAUCCAGACCUAAAAAGAAUUCAAGGAGAAAUUGCUUAUGCAUUGGGCUUGAAACUAAUGGAUGAGGAAACUACAUAUGGUCGAGCAAAUCGUUUACGUGAGAGGUUAGAGAGAGAUAAUAACGAAAACAUUCUCCUAAUUUUAGAUAAUUUGUGGGAGAAGCUUGAGUUGAAGGAAGUUGGAAUCCCUUGCGGAGAUGGUAAUAAAGUAAGAAGUUGUAAACUAUUGUUAACAUCUAGAUACCGAGAUGUCUUGUGCAUUGACAUGUGCUCUGACCAACAAUUCCAACUCAAUAAGUUAGAGGAUGGAGAAGCACAGAGACUUUUCGAAAGGAUAGUGGAGGACAAAGUUAUGGAUCCUGAGUUUACAAGCUUAGUGAAGAGAGUGGUCAAGAAUUGUGGAGGCUUGCCACUUUUGAUUGUUUCGUUGGCAAAAACGUUGAAGCACAGAGAUUUGGCUGCAUGUAGGAAUGCUUCGACCUAUAUAGAUGAGUCGAAUGUAAAAUCACUAGUGGAACAAAAUUACAAUGACUUAAAAGAUGAGAGGAUUAAAUCAUUGUUCUUGAUUUGUGCUCUAGACUCUGGGAGAAUUUUCCUGAGGGAUUCCUUUAUCUACUGCAUGGGUUUGGGUUUAUAUAAAAAAUUCAGCAACACCAUCGAAGACGCUAGAGAUAGGUUGAUUAUGGAUCUACAUAGACUGCAGGACUUUUCUUUGUUACUAGAUAGUAAUGACCCGGAAAAGUUCAGAAUGCAUGACAUAUUUGUUGAUGCGGCCAUCUCUAUUUUUUCCACAGAAUGGAACGGCUUGGUAGGGAGGAAGAAUUUGGGGUUUAAAAAAUGGUCAACGCAUGAGCUCAGAAAAUGCACCACAAUAUCCUUCUCAUGGGUUGGCAUUGAUGAGCUUCCUGAAAGUUUGGAUUGCCCAAACUUGAGGAUGCUUUUGCUGGCCGAACACAAUUUGUCUCUCAAAAUUCCUGAUUCAUUUUUUGAAUCUAUGGAGAAACUUCAAGUCUUGGACUUGACUGGCUUAUCUUUCACCUCUCUACCUUCAUCCAUUAAGUUCCUUGGAAACCUUGAGUCGCUAUCUCUUGAUCAGUGCCAUCUGGAGGAUGUGAUUGCUCUUGGAAAGCUGAAAGGAUUGCAAUUCCUAAGUUUUCUCAAAUCUGCAAUCCCUAAAUUGCCCAAAGAAAUAGGUGAAUUAACAGAAUUGAGAUUUUUGGACUUGACUAGGUGCAUUGAGCUCAAAGUUAUCGAACCAGGUGUGCUCGGAAGCUUGGUCAAUUUAGAAGAACUGUACAUGGAAGAUAGCUUUGAUCAGUGGGAGGCUGAGGAUGAAGCACCGCCAAGCAAUGCCAGCCUAGCUGAGUUGAAAAACAUGAAAAAUUUGAGCACUCUAUGUAUUGCCAUUCCUCAAUCUGUCAAUCUUUCAACAGGCUUGCCAUUUGGGAAACUUAACAAGUAUAAAAUCCAAAUUGGGGACGUUUGGGAUUGGUCGGGCAAAUACAAAGAAUCCAGAACUUUAAAGCUGAAGCUGGAUUCACGCAAUCUUCCUCUUGAAGAGUGGGUGUCAAAAUGUUCGCAAAAACCGCAAGAGCUCCACUUGGAUGGACUGCAAAAUGACAUCGAUAAUAUUCACGAUUUGUGCGUCGAAGGAUUUCAGGAAUUGAAGCAUCUUCACGUACAAAAUAGCUCCUCCUUUCAAUAUGUUGUUGGUUCCACAGAGAAUGUCCAGUGCACUGCAUUUACUAGAUUGGAAUCUUUGUUUCUCAAGAAUCUGAACAACUUGGAGAAGAUUUGUCGUGGUUCUCUUUCCCUAGAAUCCUUCAAUAAAUUAAAGAUUGUGACAGUGGAUAACUGUGGUGAAAUCAAACAUUUGUUUCCUUUCUCCAUGAAGAGAACAAUAUCACAGCUCGAAGAUAUUGAAAUAAGCAUGUGCUGCUUGAUGCAACAAAUUCUUGCAGACGAUGAGACAAAUGAAGAUGGAGAUGAAAUAAAUGACGAUACCAAAGUGAUGUCAUGCAAAUUGCGUAGGUUGACAUUACGAAACUUGCCAAAGAUGACAAGCUUCUGUAAAACUACGGACCAUUUAGUCGAUUUCUUCGACGGGCAACAGGUAUGUAAUUGGUUCUUGAGAUUUAGUGCAUGGAUAAAAAUUGGAUAAAUACUUUGUUUAUGAGAUUUUGUUUCCAGAAUAAUUACGACAAAUAAUAAUUUAAUUUUGCAAAAUGGAAUUGCUUUGUGAUAUUUUAAUACAUAAAAACAUUUAUACAUCGGUUAAUUACAUCUCACUUUGUUUGUGUUAUGUUAUCAACAUAGUUAAAAAGCGCCGUACGAUGCAAAGAUUUUUUAAAUAAUUUCAAAGUCUAUCAUUGCUUAAUGUUAAAAUCGAAUAUGAAUACAGAAACAUUUAUGGAUAUAUUCAUAAAUUGAAGGAGGUAUAUAGGACCUAUACAAUUUUUAUGACCUUUAUCUAAUAAUGAAUGGACAUACGUAGAAUUCUAUUAGUUCCGAUUGAUUAAAGUGAAAUAUAGAACUAAAAAUAUUUCAAUAGAUGCUUUACCAAAAAAAAAAUAUUUCAAUAGAUGAAUUUAACUACCUUGACUAUGUGUCAUACAACAUCCAAAUUAAUAAAUUAUACAUUUCCAAUUUUAAUCGUAAGUACAUCAGCAUUAGAGUAGUUGAGACUAUUAUGUUGCUUUUUUCUUCCCUCAAUGACUGUAAAGAGGUGGUAGGUAAAUGGACCGUUGUGGAAUUGUGGUUCGACACAAGGUUUCAUUAUACUCUUAUUUGUUAAACGGCGGAACUAUUAUGUGAUUACAAAUGAAAAAUCAAAUAUAAUAUUCGAUAGCCCAAAUUGUUUUGUUACCUUGGUACAUUAAUGAGAUGUUAGGGGAAUAAUUAAUUUUUUUGUUCUAAUUUGUGUAAGCUAUUGAACUCUUUAUCGUGAUAAAAUCUACCGCUAAUCUUUGUUCUAACAACUUUCCUAAUAUUAUUGGUAGAAUUUAUGUGCGAUGCCCAUGUUUAAAAAUUUCUUUUUAUUAACAAAAUAUUGCUUGAGAAUAUUAAUCAGAAACACAUCUAACAUUCAUUUGUGCACUAUCGUUUUGAUUUAGCAAUUGCUUUAACUGUUCUGUCAAUAUAAAUUUAAAAAGGGAAACCGUUUUUCAGAUUAUUUUUAUCAUGUGACCCAAGUCGCAAAAGCAUGAUGCUCAGCUAAAAUAAUUUAUUUAAUUAAGCAACUCUUUUUCUUGGCUACAAGACUAACUCUCCACAUAAAUUAAUUUUUUCAUGAUGAGAAAGGGGGUAUCUUAGGUUCUUUUAUAGGUAGAAUUAAACCCAUUGCUGAAAUUGACUUUGAUGCCCAUAUGGUGCCGUUGCGACCAGUUCAUGGAUGUUAUGGCUAACCAUGGAUCUUAAAUUGAUGAACCCCUUUUUGGCUUUGGUUCGACAAGUCAUCUGUUCUACAUUACAGAUAUACAAGAAUUUUAGGCCAUAUUAUUUAAGGGGACAAAAAAAAUUUCUGACUACAUAAAUUUAUAAUUACUAUAUACUAAUCUUUCGAUAAGGCUUUUUUUUUUUUUUCUUUUGUGGAAUACUUUGAAGAAAAAUGCCAGACUCAAAUUACACCUUAUAAUCAAUUAAAAGUAUAGUUUUUCUCGGUUUGUCAAUUACAAGCCCUUUAAAUAAUGUUCACUGUUAUGUUUAACGUUGUUCUAUGUCUUUCUUUAACUUAAUAUGUUGUUAGGUCGUGACCUUUCGGUGUAAAUAGUUGAGAUUUUUUUUUUAUAUAGAUGUUUGAAGUAUUAUACAAGACCACAUUUAAUGAAUAACAAAAAUUAAUUGAGUCUAUGCCAUUAAUUUGUAAAAUUUAGAAAGCACAAAAUGUGAGCGUAAAUUCAAUAACCUCAAUAACUCAAGGAUUAUAACUUCCUCCUCUUGUCAUAUAUAUAAUAGAGCCCCAGUAGACAAUAAGGUAAAUGAUAAGUCAAGUGUAAAUGUUUAAAAAUUUAAAGAGGUGAAAGGUAAUAUUAAAAAAUCACUACUUGGCCUUCCUUUACGUCAUCUUCAAAUCUAUUAUGUGAGAUUAUUUUCUUUAUUAAUAUUUCACAGACAACGCGUGUUCAUGGCUUUUAGUUUUAAGCAUUGUGAGAUUAUGUGGGGUUAUGCACUCCUUUCUGUUAAAGAAAAAUCAAUGCAUAUGCCUCCAUAACACGAUUCUCCUUUUUUUUUUAAGGUUUCAUUGCCCUGGUUGGAGUCCUUGACACUAUCUGCACUUCCCAGAUUGAAGGAGAUAUGGAACUCUCAAUUUCCUUCGGAUGUCAGCAAUCUAAAAUUUUUGAAGGUAGAGGAUUGUGCAUUCCUCAUGAGCAUCUUCCCAUCCAAUUUGGUAAUAAAGCUACAGAAUUUGGAAGCCAUCACCAUUGAGAGAUGUCAGUUUGUACGAAAAGUAGUCGACCUUGAAGGACUGACGUCCAAUGGGGAUGUCGAGAUUCUAUCACGAUUGAUCACAUUAACCUUGAGUGACUUACCAAGGUUGGAACACAUAUGGAACAAGAAUCCUAGAAUAGCUUUGUGUUUCCGAAACUUAAGGGUAUUGAAGGUGCAAGGCUGUGAGAACUUGAGGUUUAUUUUUUCUUCUUCCAUGGCUAAAGCACUCCAACAAAUAAAAGAAAUAAAAAUAGCGAGAUGUAAACUAUUGGAGGAAAUUAUUGAUGUGCAAGAAGAAGAAUCAAAGAAAGCUGCAUCUAUGCACACUUUAGUGUUCCAUCUAUUAUCCUCCUUAUCUCUUGAGGAAUUGCCAAAUCUUAGAACAUUCUCUCAUGGAACACACUGUAUUCAAUGUCCAACCUUAACAAGAUUGAGGAUAUUUGGAUGCCCCAGAAUGAUGACGUUCUCUUCAUUUGAAGGAAAGCAACAGAGGAUUACAACUAAUUCAAGUUUACAACAAGCACUUGUUGGUGUCAACUCUAGCUUGUCCUUGCCUAUACUCUUCGAUCAAAAUGUGCGUAAAUAUCCCUGGAAUUUUCUAUUAUAUGUUUAUCGUAGAAAUUAUUCUUGGUAACUAUAGUUUUAUCGCUAAUGAAGUAGUUGAAAACUCUAUCUGCAUGUCCUUUAAAGCCUUUUGCUACUGCAUGCAUUUGUCGUUUUUCUAUGAUGAUGGUAAUCUCGAGUAACCAACUUCAUUCUUGAGAAUAUAUUAUCGAGCAUAUUAUCAUGGGUAACCAACUUCGUCCAAAUCAGGAUUUUUAGGAGUUCUUAGUUGAGAAACUAACAUAUGGUCGUUUCAUACAGAUUCUUUUUCCAAGCUUGGAGGAGUUGACCAUCGUGUCGUGUGGUUUGAUGAAGAUAUGGCACAAUGAACUUUCUAAAGAAUCAUUCCGCAAACUAGCAUCCAUCACAAUCCGAGAUUGUGAAAAUUUGUCUCAUAUUUUUCCAUCAAAUAGAAUAGAGGUGUUCCAGAGCCUGAAAAUGAUUGAGGUGGUCAACUGUACCUCUUUGGAAACAUUAAUGGAACAUGUUGCUGUCAAUACUAAGAAAAGGCCAAAAAGUCUGGUCUUCUUAGACUUAAAUGAAGUGAAGUUGUGGGACCUGCCGAGGUUGGAUGCGUUAGUGACAAGUAGCUCCCAAGUAACGUUGAGUCUUCCUAAUCUGACUACAAUUAGCUUCCGCAAUUGCCAUAGUUUGAGAUAUCUCUUCACAUAUGAUACAUCCAGGACUCUUGUUAAACUUGAGAUGCUAGACAUUUCUGAUUGCAAUAAGAUGCAGGAAGUAGUUGUCGUGGAAGAAAUUGAAGAGCAAAAGUUGAAGGCAGUGAAGUUCUCUCGUUUACAUAGAUUGAAGCUUUGUUCCCUUAAGAGCUUUAUUAGUUUCAGCUCAGGAAGUUGUGCAUUUGAGUUUCCCUCCCUCACAAAUCUCUCAAUUCUGGAGUGCACUGAACUCAUGGCAUUCAUACUGAGGCUACCAGUGCCAAGAGUGGAGACGACAAAUGAGAAAUCUGCCGGUUCCAAAGAAAAUCCACAUUCUUUAUUUGAUGAGAAGGUUAUCCUCUUUCCUUUAUCUCAGUUGUAUCUUUGCUCAUGUGAUUUGCUUUCUUCUUUGUGAUGCUUUGGAUACAUGAUCAAUUUUGGUUCAAUGCCAGUCAUGUUGACUAUAGCCAGAUGAUGCUUCUAUAGGUUGUAUUUCCCAAAUUAGAAGAGCUACUUCUAACAGGAUUUCAAUCAAGAGAUUGUGUGUAAUUUUAAUAAAUUUAUAUGCAUUUAUCAACCAAACGACAAAAAUUGUCUAGUAACAUUUGUUUUGUCUAGUGUUUUGUGUUAAAAGGUAUCGAGUCUAUUCGAAUUUAAUUAUUUAGAUAUUUAAUUUAUAAACACAUGAAAGAAUUGCUUUUAGAAUUAUCCUCAAUUUAUUUUUUGUGGAAAUGUUACUCUAAGUAAACUUCUAUUAUAUAAAUCUUUUUAUACCUUUAUAUGUUGAUUUAUUGGACUAUUACGUGACUACGAAAUGAAAAAAAAAAAAUCCAAUAUAAUAUUCAAUAGGCCAAUUUGUUUUCCUUACCCGUGGUUGUAAUAUUGACCUUCCGUGGUGAUCAAAUACACCGCAAAUUUAUAUUCUAACCACUUUUCUAAUAUUACUCGUAAAAUUUAUGUGCGCUGCACAUGUUCAAAUUUAUUAUUAUUUUUUUUUUUGGUGUAAUAAAAUAUUCGUGAAAGUAUGUGUUAGAAAUACAUCUAGCAUUCAUUUGUUCACUGUUGCUUGACAUAACAGUUUCUGUAACUAUUCUGCUAGUAUAGAAUAAAAGUAUGGGAAACCAUUUUAAAGUUAUCUUAAAAUUACGUUUAUAAUGGGACCCAAACUGCAAAAGCAUAGUGCUAGGCUAACAUCAUUUAUUAAAUGAAGUAACUCCUUUUUCUUGGCUACAUGACUAGCUCUCCACAUAAGUUAAUCUUUUUCAUGACGAGUAAGGGGGUAUCUUAGGUUCUUAUAUAGGAAGAAUUAAAACCAUUGCUGACAUUGACAUUGAAAAGGUAAGUAAGCAUCUAUAGUAAUUUUUUAUUUUAUUAUUAUUCAGCAUUCUUCUAGUUUUGUUCAGUGAAGCAAUUUCUUAUAAACUGGCUCAUUAUUCUGUACCAAAAGCUUAACAAAUCACGGUGCAAGAACUAACUCAUGACGUUGUUCAUUUCCAAAGAUGUCCCUAAAUUAUCAGCAUAAUAAAUUCCAUUAGUUAUUCAACAUAUAUGAGGUUUGUAUGCAGGUUCUAUUUCCAAAUUUGGAGGAAUUGAAGCUUUCAUCCAUGUGCCAACUAAAGAGGAUAUGGCACAAUCAACUCCCCGGACAGUCCUUCUGCAAACUUGCAUCCCUCACAAUUGAACUUUGUGAAAAUUUGUCACGUCUUUCCAUCAAAUUCAAUGGAUAGGUUGCAGAGCUUGAGUAAGAUUAAGGUGGUUGGGUGUCCCUCCUUGGAAGCAUUAUUUGAACCGGUAAGCCUCAACUCUGAGGAAAGGCAUAAGCCAUUGGAACUCUUUGCAUUAAAAAAAAAUGAAGUUUUUUGAAUCUAACAGGGCUAACAGACAUUUUGAAGGGUGACCGUGAAGUAACCUUGACAUUAUGGAAUUGAAUGUCAGAUGUUGUCAUAGUUUGUCAUAUCUCUUCUCAAGUACCACGGCCAAAACUCUUCAUGAACUUGUAGUGCUUGAUAUUUCCUAUUGCAAUAAUCUAUGAGGCAUCAUUGUGAUGGAAGAAGGAAAAGGGAAAACUGUAGAGAUAUUCGAGUUCUGCCAUUUAGCCAAACUCAACCUUGGUGACCUUAAGAGUUUGAUUUGUUUUAGUUUAGAGAAUUGUGCCGGUGAUGGGGUUAUAUCCUCUAUUUGAUAAGAAGGUAUCAUUUUCUAAUUUAUCUUAUAUGUUAUAUUUCUUUGUUUUUUUGUAGCUUACAUUUCCAAAGCUAGUAGAGCUACACAUCGAGGGAGUUCAACAAGAACUAUGGAACAAUAAAAUCCUUGUGGAGUCCUUUUGCUGUCUAAAGGCCCUCGAGGUGAAGCAGUGUCACAACCUAGUGAAUGUGAUUCCUUCAUUCAUGUCAGAGAGGAUGCUUCACUAUAUGGAGUCCUUGACAGUUGAGGAGUGCCCUCGUCUGAGAAACCUUUUUACAAUGUCUAUGGCAAAAAGUCUACAACAACUCCAAUAUCUGGGUCUUGGUGGUUGUGGAGAGAUGGAGUACAUCAUCGCCAAAGAAGAGGAGAAACUUGAAGAAUCAACCAACAAAAUUGUAAUUCCUCAACUUGUCACUCUAUAUCUUCACAACAUGCCAAAACUCAGGAGUUUCUACCGAGGGAAGCAUAUUUCAGAGUGGCCCUCCUUGAAAGAGUUUACUAUUGAAGAUUGUAAAGCUAUGAAGGUGAUUCUAGGAGAUGCCAGUUGUAGAAAAUUAGAGGGUAACAGUCCAACAAAUCAACCACUUUUACUCGUUGAAAAGGUUCGCACUCAUUCUUCUCUAAUGGCAUAUCUAGUUUGUUGUCCUGAUGGUUUGAGUUAAGGGUAUGAGUGGUCACUUAUGAUAACUUAUCAUUUUCAUUUACAAAUAUUUGACCUCCUAUAAGAAACAUCUCAAAGCUACUUCUUUAAUAUAAAUUUUUGAAAUGUAUAUCAAAUUUUUUUCAUAAACUUCAAUAACUUAAUACGUUUUUUCUUUCAUUUUCAAGUCUUAAACUAAAUUGUAGCUGAAGCACAAAUAUUAAUGAGAGGCUAAGCUAGACAACGCCAGGGAUGUUUGCUUAACUUUAAAUAUUGUUCAAUGUAAGAUCAACGAUUAAUGACGUUACAAGUUCUAAAACUUGUGUUGGUUUGGCACUUAAGUUCUAAAAUUUGCACAAUUGAUGCAUUUCAAGACUUGUUAAGUUUGUCCCCUUUUUGUAGAGAAAUUCUGCAUUUUUAUCAUAUUUUUAGUCUUGCAUGGGCUUGACGCGGUGAUGGAGCUUCCUCAAGCAUAAAAGGGAGCUGUUUCACCAUUUCCACAUCGAAAAAUUGAAAAAUUAAAAAAGAGUAAAAAUUAUGAAAAAAAUCAGCAAUAAUAUGAAACUGGAAAUAAAAGAAAGUCCUACAGGAGAUCGCUAGUCAAGUGGGGAAGGGCAGCAUUUGGAGUGCCACUGCCGCUUCCCUUCCUACCGAUAAGGGCUAGCGCUCACCGUGAGCAAGCAAUGGCCUGUUACAGCUCUUGGCAAUUUGGGUGAGGGCAAGUGUGCUCACUCACAUGGUGGCAAGGAGCCAAGUUUGGCAACUGCUGGUGACCUAGCGAGGGUACUGAGCACCCUAGCCAUGACCCUAGGUACAGUUGCAACCCUCACCAGGGCAAAAGCCUUGAGACAAACCCUCCCUCUCUCCUGCCUUGUUUUCUUAUAUGUACUUUUUAAAUUUUUGGUCGCCUUUUUUAAAGCGGCAUCACCACAUUUGCACCACAUUUUACCAUUAAAAAAAAGGAAAAUUUAAUGAAAAACAAGUUUUACCAAUAAAGGAAAAAAAAAUUAGUUCUUAAACAUGCCAAAUCGCAAUAAGUUUUAAGAGUCAUUUUGUCACUAUUCCUAAAGUCAAUUGUAAAUAUUGUGAUGGAAAAAAUCGUUCCACAGGUCCUAAAAUGUAUUUAUGAAAUGCAAUCAAAUCAUAAAUUUUUUAGUUGGUGUAAUGAACUCUUAAACCUUUAUCAAAAAGUGCAAUCUAAGUCCCAAACCUUUCGGUUGGUGUAAUUAAGUAAUAAAUUAAUACGAACAAAUGCAAUUUGAGGUUGCCACAUAGGCAAUCUAAGUUAUCGUGUACUAAAAGGACUUGAUUACGCUUCUUCAAAAAUAUCUAAAACUCUUGACUGCAUUUCAAAUAUAAGAUUAAUACUUCCAAUGCACCUUUAUAUCUUGAUUAUGACUAAAACUGCAAGUAGUUGACAUAAUAUUUUUAACUUUUGGGUCAAACCUAGUCUGCUUAUUCAAAUACUAAUCAAAGGAACUAAGCAUUGUCGCUCCACAUGAGUCAAUAUUUGUUUCACUACAUGCAUUAUAUGUAAAUAAUUCAACUGCACUGACGUUGAUUCUAAAAUUUGAGGAUCUUUUUACCAGGUGUAUGAUAUAUAUGUUAGCAUCUGACAAUAUAGAAUGAAAUUGCAUAGCAAGGUUGAUUUAGAAUCAUAAAAUCCGCAGGAAAUUGUGUGUGUGUGUGUGUGUGAGAGAGAGAGAGAGAGAGAGAGAGAGAGAGAGAGAGAGAUUUUAAAUUAGGCGAGGAAGAAGAAACACCAAAUAGGCAAACUCAUUAGUCAAUGAAUUCAUCCUCAAGACUGAAGAAAAUUAGUAUUUUAGUCAAUGAAUUCAUCCUCAAGACUGAAGAAAUUAGUAUCUUAGCCGAUAUCAUAGGUAAUUAAAACAAGAGUUCCUUAACAAAAGAAAAAUAAGAGUACAAUGUAAGGCAUUUUGUGUAAUUUGACAAAGUAACAUGCAUUUAUUAACUAUACGAAAAAAAAAACUUUUUAGCAACAAUUGGAUCACUUAGUAUUUUGUGUUAAAAAGUGUUGAUUUUAAUCAAAUGUGAAUACUUAAAAAUUUGAUUUAUAAACACAUUGAAAUAUUGACUUUAGAGUUAUCUCCAUUUGCUUUUGAUAUGUGGGUGAGUACUAAUGUGAUACGUUUUGCAUUGUAUAGGAAAUAAAAUUUUAUGCAUGGGUAUUAUAGAGGAGUCUAAUAGCACAUAUAACUAUUUUUUUAAUUAAGACAAAAUAAUGAUUUAAUUUUUCAAAAUGUAAUUGCUACGUGAGAUGUGAAUGCAUAAAAACAUCUAUAUUAGAUAAUUUCAUCUAUAUGUGUUAUCUUAUCAACAUAAUUAAAGAAGCAACAUACGAUGUAUCGAUUUUUCAAAUAGUCUAAAAGUUUAUCAUUGCUUUAUGGUAAAGUAUAUACACAUACAGUUAUGGAUAUAAUCGUAACUUCAAGAAAGUAUUUAUGACCUAUAUAAUUUGUAUGACCUUCAUUUAGUAAUUAUGGAAAAUUGUAGGAUUCUAUGAUGUCAGCUUGAGUAAAGCGAAAAAACAGAACUUAAAAAAAUUUCGGUGCAAGUAAUGUAACUUUAGUCACUGUGUGAAAUAACAUCCAGAUCAAUUGAUUACAGAAAAUUAUUUUGCAAUUUUCGUCUUAAGUACAUUAAUGCUAGGGUAAUUGAGACGAUUAUAAGUUGCUGUUUUUUCUUUUCAAUAAUUGUAAAAAUUUGGGGAAGGUGAAUGGACCUCAGUGGAAAUGUGGUUCUACACAAAGUUCCAUCAUAUAAAAUUUUCUAUAGUCUUAUAUGUGAGUUGAUGGAACUAUUAUGUGACAACGAAAUUAAAAUUUAAAUAUAACGUUAGAUAGGCAAAUAUGCAUUUUUAUCCUUGUUAAAAUGAGAUGUUAGUGAAAUAAUUAAUUUUUUUGUUCUGAUUUAUGUGAACUAUGGACCUUUUGUAGGGAUCAAAUCUACCACAGAUCUUCAUUCUAACAACUUUUCUAAUAUUCCUGGUAGAAUUUAUGUGCGUCACGUGUUUAAAUUUCUUUUUUCUGUAAUAAAUGUUGCUUGAAAGUAUUAACGAGAAACACAACUAGCAUUAAUUUGUUCACUAUUGUUUGGAAUUAACAAAUUUUAUUACUAUUCUUUAGUAUAAAAUAAAAAAAAUUGGAACCCCUUUGCUACCUAUUUUUAAAAUUAUUUUUAUCAAGUGACCCAAACCACAACAGUCUGACGCUGGACUGAAAUCAUUAUCAAAUGAAGCAAUUCUUUUUCUUGGCUACAUGACUAAAACUUUUUACUUUCUACAGAAACUAACUUUUUUUAUGACGAGGAAGCGUAUCUUGGGUCCUCAUAUUUUAAAACUAAAUCCUUUGCUGAAAUUGACCUUGAUGACCAUACGGUGCUGAUAUGACCAAUUCAUGGAUGUUAUGGCCACCAAUGGGUCUUACGGAGAUGAACCGUUUUUCUAACAUUUCGUCGAUGCGGCAUCUAUUCCGCCUAUAGUGCUAUGCAUGGGGACAUUAAAAUCUUAAGACUACUUUAGUAUUUCUCUAUUAAAUUUAUAACUACUUUAGUAUUUCUCUAUUAAAUUUAUAACUACUUUUUACUUUUACUCUCUCGAUAAGAGAUACUUUUUUUUUUUUUGGAACAGUUCGGAAAAAAUGCCAGGCUCAAUUUACACCUACAAAUCAACUAAAAGUAUACUUUACUUUUAUUUUUCAGUUUAUCAAUUUAGUUCAUAACUAUUUAGGAGAGAAUCAUUAAGAUUUUUUUUACACUAUCAUUUGAGAUAUUAUAUCAGACCACAUCGAAAAAUCAAUUGAGCCUAUGCCAUGAAUUUCUAAAAUUUAGGCAAAUUGCACAAAAUGUGAGGGUAAAUUCAGUAACCUCAAUAAUUGAUUCUCGAUAAUAUAUGUAUGAUAAAGUCCAAAUACAUAAUAGAUAAAUGAUAAGUAAGUGUAAAGUAGAUAAUUUUAUAGAAGGAUAAGGGAAAAUUCAAAAUCACUACUCCGUUUUAUCUUCCAUUAUUUUAGUUCUACUAUGCGAGAUUAUUUCUUCUGUUAUUAUUUCACAUGCAACUCGUAUGCGUACUUUCUAGUUAAUAGCAUUGUUAUGGGAUCAUGUGGUGUUAUUCACCCCUUGCAGCUAAUAAGGUUGCAGAACUUGGAAGCUAUAACGGUUGAAAGAUGUCAGUUAAUACGGGUAGUAUUUGACCUUGAAGAAUUGACGACUAGUGGGGAUGUCAAGAUUCUAUGGCAAUUGACUAGAUUAACCUUGAGUGGCUUACCCAAGUUGGAAUGCAUAUGGAGCAAGAAUCCAAGAUUCUAAUAUAUGUUAGAAAAAUUUAUGCUUUCCACUUUAAAAUUAUAGACAAAUGAAUGAAUUUUAUGGGGUGGCAUCCACUAAAAAGAAAUAACGUAUGUCUAGUCUUCUUUUCUUUCUAUUUUUUGAUAAUAUCCAUCCUGUGAUUUUCUUUGUUCUCGAAAUCAAAGUAUUCUCUUUUUUGAAGGAAUAGAGAAUCGGCUCUAAUUAAUUAAAUUAAAAAUAACAGGUUGAGUUUCCUGCUAUGGAGUCGAUGAAGAUCUUGCACAUGAAUAACAUGGAGAAGAUAUGGCUUGAUGAUCUUGAUUCAAAUGCCUUUGGCAAACUCAAAACACUAGUAGUGGAGCAUUGUGAGAAACUUUUAUCCGUAUUUUCAUCUUAUAAUAUGCUCACGAGAUUUCAAAACCUAGAGAAGAUAACUGUGACCGAUUGUGGAUCCUUAGAAGUAGCAUUUCAAGUCCAAGAGUUUGAAUUUAGCGAAGCUUGUUCUACAAAUUCUUUUCAAUUGGGAGAAAUAGUUUUGACGAGGCUCCCAAAAAUGAAACACGUGUGGAAUGGACUUCCUCGAGGAGGUCUUACCUUUGGACGCUUACAACGCAUGGAGGUUGUCAAGUGUGAUAGUCUCAAAAGUUUAUUUCCAAGCUCGGUGGCAAAAAAUAUGACACAAUUCAAAGAACUUUUAGUAAUGGAUUGUGGGGUGGAGGAAAUUAUUGCGGAGAAAGAUGGAGUAGGGAUGAGUGCAAGUGAUCUAUUCUUUCCGCAAUUAACCGACCUAAGAUUACUUGAGUUGCCGAAACUAGGGAGCUUCUGCCAGAAUAGUCAUACUCUAGCAUGGCCACUCUUGAAGCAAUUGCGAGUAAGACAUUGCGGCAAGAUGAGGUCGUUCUUAUUUGCUUGUGAAUUUCAAGGCUGCCAAGGUACAACUACCAGCAAGAACCAAUCCGCACUCUUUUCUUUUGAAAAGGUACUGCCCUUAUCAAAGAUUCUAACUCUUUGCUAUUGUCUUCAUUGGUUUAUGUGCAUAAUUCUUGGUGCAUUGUUAUUUCCUCUAGGAAAUUGACAUUGUCAAACAUUGCAUGCUUGUUGAUGCUCGCCUAACCACACCUGUGAAUUGUUUAAAAAUUUAAAAAUUAUUUGUAGUUAAUUAUUUCCAGCUCAUAUUCUUUGGUGUAUAAAUCUAUUGAUCCCAGCUUUUACUUCGAAGAACAACACUUUUUAUUAAAUUGACUUGCAUAGAUAGCCAUGCUUCUGAUGAGCCACUUGUAUCUUAUGAUUGAGAUUUACCUAUUUAAUUUAAUUUGACCAACCUUGUCCACCAAUUUUUUUUUAAAUGGUAUUAUGUUCACUUGGAAUAUUGCUAGCUUAGCUACAAAACAAAUUUCCAUCCUCGAACAUCUUGAACAUGGUUGGUAAUUGUUAAGCACUGUGGAUAAUUUUCUUAUUUGAUCACAUGUUAGUAACUCAUCAAUAGGCUUAAAAAACGACGAACUUUUUUCUACUUUCAAAUCAUCAACUACUUUAAUAAUUUACCAACUUUUAUUCUGGCUUACCAAUAGAUUUGAAAUUACUAACCUUAUUUGAAGUUACCAAAUCAAAUUUAAUUGGUGUACCAAUAUUAGUCACAUUAAGACUUCAUUUGUUUCACGAAAAAUGGAAUUUAUGCGAAAUGUUUUUUGAAAAAUGAUGGCUUGUAUUGUUUAUAAAAAUAAAUGAAUGAAAAAUAUUUUUAUAAUCUAUGAAAAUAUUUAGAUAUAAAUUAUAAUUAAUCAAUGAAAAGAAUUUUCAUUGAUUAAUUAUUAUCAAGCGACAUAAGCAAUUAUUUUUAGGAAAAUGUUUUCCAAAACAUUCAUUUUCUAUAAAAUACAAACUAAUUUUAGUUACUUGCCACCUCAAAUUAUCUAGUUAGGUUGGAUAGUACCAACAUUUUCAAAAUUACAAACUACUUUAAUAAUCAACCAAUAUUUACUCUCGUGACAAGCCAACUUCUCUCAAAUUACUAACUUUAUUUUGAAAUUACAAACGAAAUCUAAUUGAUGUACCAACAAUCAUCAAAUUAAGAUACCAAUUGAUUUUAAUCAUUGACCAACUUUUUAUUAGAUCUUGAAAGGUACUAAUAUAUAUUUACUUUUUUAAGAUCACCAACUACAUUAAAAACCUACCAAUGUUUAUUCCUAUGGCUGACCAAUGCUUUUCAAGUUACAAACAUUUAAUCAAAAUUACCAAACUUAAUUAGAGUGGUAUAUCGGUGAUAUACCGACACAAAAUUAAGUUCCUUUUCAACCACACAGAACGCUAAAAAGAUCCAUUUAUUUGGGGCUAUGUACUUUUUAUUUGUUUCAUUGCUCAUAUGAUGUUUCGCUUUGCUUUUGUAAGAAUGAAAAACUUAUCUUCAUUAUUUACUCUUUUUUCCAUCGAAAUUUUGAACUAUCAUCUCUAUAUCGUUUUAUUGCUUUUUCACCAAUGUCCUGUCAUUUCAAUUUUUCUUUUCUUCUCUUUUCUUUUCUUUUUUUUUUCUUUUUUUGCUAAUUAUUUGUUGAGUUUGAAUGCAUUCUUCUCAGAGUUACGCGAAACAUCUUACUAUUGAAACAUAUACACUAACUAUAAAAUUAACCUAAUUUGUUAAAACAAGCAAAUGUAAUUUUUCCAUUUUAAUUUAAUUUGUUACCAUUGAAAUAGCUUAAGCAUCAUUGAUUAAUAAUUUUCUUUAUCUAAAUUUACGAAAUAUAUUGUGAUUGAAUUGGCCACACCACAUCAAUCAAAAAACAAAAAAAAAAAUUGGGCAUACCACUAACAACAAUCAUCCCUCCUAUAAUGGCCAUCGAUGCUUGCUCGUCUACUUCUAGAAAGUUGUGUUUCUCCUUAUUUCCCUAAACUGAAGGACAUUUUAGUCAUUGGACUUUUGGUGGCCUAAUUAAACGGAUUCCAUCCCACAGGUCAUUUCUCACUUGGAGGGAUCGACAUUGACAAUGCAGGAUGUUAUGACGAUGAUGCUGCAGCAUUACGUCUUCCACAAUCUCAAAGAGCUGGAUUUGGCAUGCUACCAUAAUGAAAGUGUCGCUUUUCCUUCCAACUUCCUUCUCCACAGAUUCCCCAAUCUAGAAUCGCUUGGUGUGAUAUGUAGUUCCUUUGAGGAGAUAUUUUCAGAAGAUUCGUUUGGACAUGGGGGAGCAACUCGAUGUGGAGAACUAACUGACAUGGAAAAACCUCUCCAGGCACUGCAAAAUCUUAGGCUACUAGACCUGUAUAAGCUAUGUAACCUGAAGCAAGUUUGGAAAGAUGGCUCAUUGAUGGCUGAAAUUCUCGAACAGAUUGAAGUUCUGUGGGUUAGAGAGUGCCCAAGUUUAUCAAUUGUAUUUCCAUCCCCGACUUCAUUCCAUAGAUUGAUGAGUUUAGAAGUAGAGGAUUGCGUUGGUUUGGUUCAAUUGGGGACUUGCUCAGCAGUGACAAGUUUGGUGCACCUUACUCGGCUAUUCCUAAAAAAUUGUGGUGCGAUGGAAGACGUGGUGACAGAUUAUGGAAAUGGAGUAGAGGAGAUCUCUUUCCCCAAGCUGCAAUGGUUGACACUUGACGAUUUACUAAGCCUUGAGAGCUUCUCCCCCACUAAUUGCACCUUCAGAUUCCCAUCGUUGGUGUGGAUCGUUGUCAUGAAGUGCCCCAAGAUGAAUAUAUUUUGCAAGGGUGCCUUGAGGACACCGAACCUAGAUAUAGUACACCUCUCCUACAUGGAGGAUGAAUGGCGUUGGGAGGGCGACCUUAAUACCACCAUCUGAACCUUAUCGUCUUGAAACGAUCCACUCCGAAUUUAGCAAGACAGGUAAAUCUGUGUGCCUAAUUAUGUUUGUCUGAAUCUAGUGUCAAAAGGAAGAAAUUUGCGUUCUUCAAAUUCUAUAUUGGCUCAUAGUAGGUCGGUCUUUCUUAAAAGAAUGUUCGACUAGGUUUUAAAGGAAUUGUCACACGAUUUGAUAAUUAAGGGCUUUUGAGCACUUAUUCACCCUUGCAUUCCAAGUGUUCGAUGAAUUGCUCAACAUAGUCUCUGUUAGUGUAGCUUCGAAGAUUGUGAGGUUUUGUUAUAUGGGGCUGCAUGCUCGCCCACUUCUCUCGUUAAAUUUGAUGAGUUCUUACGGACAACGUUUCUUUCUAUCAGGUGUCAUGCUCACUACGAUCGAAGUGGCUACUUUCAUUUGCUAGAAAUUGUCUCCUGUUGUAGGAUGUUGAAGCAAGAUUUUUGCACCGUGGGCACUAAUAAUGUUCUAGUGCACGGUGUUGAUGCCUCUUAACAUGGUGUCUUUGUGCCGACAUUGGUAUUCACAGUAGGUGCUUCAUUGAAUUUAUCAUUCUUUUGCUAGCUUGGGAUGUCUUCUCUAUGUCAUUUCCUUGAUAAUGGUACUGGUGUAGCAGAAUGGUUGAGCAAAUAAUCAAUUGAAUGUGGGGGUUGCUCUAACAUUUGUCGAAUUGUAUAGAUAUUUUGUAUGAGUGUUGGCUUUUAGGCAAAAGUUUCUCUGGAGUUGGACUAUUUGGAUGGUGAAAACAGUGGCAUGCACUAACCAAAAGGGCAUGGAGUCCAAGAAUCCAAAUAAGCGCGCGUCCUUCAAGCAGCGCAACAUAACCUACAUGGAGCUGUUCACGCUAGAUGUUGUCAUCUCCAAGCACUUCGUCUCGACUUCACUCACUCACAGGGUCACGAGCAAGCAGGGCACUGUUGCAGGUACCAAUUCUAAAGACAUUAGAGGCGUGCUGAUGUCUCGAUUGGACAUAUCGGCAUGUUUGGCCGAAGGCAGAUUUUGGCAAACUAGGCGAGGGAAGUUGAUGUGUGCACUGCUUCCUAUACUCCAAGAGAGAGGGACAAGUUUGAAGGAAAAAUUAGAGCAGUAGUUCAGUCUCUGAUUAACAGUGGCAUCGAUACUGUUGACACCUAAAUUUUGGUGACCCUUUUAAUUAUUAGUUGCAUUAAAAAUUAGGGAUUAAUUUUAACCCCUAAAAAAAUAUUAGUUAAUUAAUUAAUUGCAUAGCAUAUAGUUUUAGGUGCAUUUUAUUUUAAUUUGCAUUUUAUCUAUUGGACCGGUGGCGGAUGAGUUCGAAUUAGAUGGAUCAGGCCCACGAAGCGAGCAGGUUGGCCCAAGCCUGCGUUUUUUAAUAAUUAAAAAUUAUCUCAUAUGAAUAUAAUAUUUUAAAAUUUUUCUGAGAUAUGAAUCUUUUUUAGAUAGGGCAUAUGAUUAAAAAAUAUUGCGAUUUGGCCUUGAAAGAUUUGGAUUUAGGGAAAAAAUCUCAUCUUAAUCUUGAAUCCUAUUAAAUCCUUAUCAGUAUGGGAUGAAUUUUAUGAAAAAAUAUUGCGAUAUUGUGAUUUAUCUUUGCGAGAUUUGGAUUUCGAGAAAAUAUUUAUCAUAAUCUUAAAUUUUUAUCAAUAGUGAUCGGUUGGUGAAAAUGUAUCGCGGAUGUAGAUUUGAAGGGGAAAUCAAAGGCUUAUCUCUUACCCCUAUAAACCUGAGGGGGGCUUCUUGUGAUAAAAAAAAAAAAAGAAAGAAGAAAAAAAAAAGUGAAGAGAAGUUUUUCUUCUGAAGAGAGAGAGAGAGAGAGAGAGAGAGGGAGAGAGAGGGGAAAAGGUAAAAAGUAAAAAGGCAGAGGUGAGGGGACGUUUACUGUUCAUCGUCUCCCUCACGCUCGCCGGCUCUGUUUUGCCUUCCACCCGCAGCCAAGAAGCCCGCCGGACACCCCACCUCCGCCGCACCUCCGAAGCCCGCAACCUGCAGGUCUCUCGCUCGCCAUCACCGAGCAUCACCGACGCUGCUCCUGCUCCGUUCGCCUCUGCUCCUGCCACCUCCGUUCCGCCAGUAGCCGUGCACCAGCGCUGCCGCCUCGUCGCUCCACCUCCGAACCUCUGCCCGAGCACCAGAUCCCGAGUCCCCGCGACGCCGUUUCUGCUCUGCCUUCAGCCCGAAGCUCCACUGCUGCAACCAGACGUCGUUACUCCUGCUUGAUUCGCGAUCGGCCGCGACUUGCUGCAUCUGCUGGCCUCGAGACCUCUGCCCACGACGCCCGAGUUCAGCGCCAGGGUCCGUCCGCCACGCUCACCGAGCCUCUGCCGCGUCUCCGCCACUGCCCGAUCUGCUGACUGACCCGCGACGCCCUUGGACGCCGAGCUUCUUCACGCCCAAUCGACGCCGCGACCCGUCUGCUCCCGCGGCCCCGCCAAUCGACGCCGCAGCCCGACGACCACCGCGAUCAACACCCACGGAGACCCUCUGCAACGCUGCUGCCCCUCGCCGGACCUUCGCCGGAGCCCCGACCGCAACGCCCUUACCGGAGCCGGUGGCCAGCCGCACGGACGUGAAGUUUGAAAGGGAAGAAGAGAAAAAAAAGAAGAAAUCAUUUAGGUAGCUUUUUUUAUUUAUUUACUUUAUUUUAUUUUUUAAUGUUAUUCUCACUUUUUUUUUUCUUUAGUAGGAUUAUUCCUAAAUAUAUGAUUGAUGUUCUGAAAGUCCCCCUCAAGCAAGGGAUUGAUAGUCCGAUUUUCGUGCCCGAAAUCCGACUCGCAAUCCCUUAUAAAAAUCGACAAUCCAAUUUCAAGCCCGAGAUUUGAUUCGCGAUUUAAAAUUAAAAUUGGUCAACCCGAUCUCAUGCGCGAGAUACGGUUCGCCAAUUUUUAGAUAUCAAUAUUAUUUUGCUUGAUUUGAUAUCGUGUAUUUGGAUCAAUUUUAUUUUCAUAAGAGAAAAAAUCAUAAAAAAAAUUCAAAUUAGGAUUAAGUAUGUUUUAGAAUAUUCUUAGUCUUAGGGUUAAAAUCGCAAUCUGAUUUCGAAUUUUUUAAAUAAGAAAAUCAAAAAGAAAAAUCCGUAAGGACUAGGUUUGUUUUUGUUAUCUUGCAUAUUAGGAUUGCAAUCUUAUUAUGAAUUUUUUAAAUAAAAAAUCCAAAAAAAGUGCAUUCACUUAGGUUGUUAGUUUUUUUUUUGAAUUGCAUGUUAAUUAGGUAUUAAUUUUAAUUUCGAGAUUAAAGAAAAAUAUAAAAAAUCAUUGUGCAUAUUAGAUUAGAAUUGCACGUUUCAUUUUAGAUCAUCUUUUUUUAGAUAAAUGGCGUUUUAGAUUUGGAUAAUAUUUUAGUUUAGAUUAGGAUUUAAUAUGACUUAAUCCCUAGUUUAAAUUAGAUAGAAUCUUAAUCUAGCUAUAGAUCAUUUGAAAUUUCAUAAAAUUUGUCUUAGGAUAAAUUAGUUGCAAUUUCUAAGAUAGAUUGCAUUUUUUUAAUAAAAAAUGUCAUAUGCAUAUGUCAUGUAGAAUUAGAGCAUUCUUUGCAUGUCAUUGCAUGAUAAGAUUGCAUAUUAUAGGUUUAGAUAAUCUCUCAUAAAUAGAUUGCAUGCUUAUUAGGAAAAUAAAAAUCAUGUGCACGUCAUAUAGAAUUAGCUUCAUACAAUGCACGUCAUUUAGUGAUUUUUGUUAGAUGCAUCUAAUUAGAAAUUGCCCUUCAUUAGAAUUAGGUCAUUAAAUUAAUUUAGAUUGCAUAUUUAAGUGUUGCAUUUCUUUAAUUUCGAAUCUCAUGGAAAAUACAAAAAAAUUAUUUAGAAUAAAUCAUCUCAUGCUUAGGAUAGAUCACAUGCUUAGUUAUGUCAUAUUGCUUAGAUCAUGUAGCUAAGUCAUGAUGCCAUGUCAUAUCAUUCAUGUUAAAUUAGUGGCAUGCAUUGCAUAUUGCAUGAUUUUCAUUAAUUAAGUGAAAACAUAAAUUGAAAAAUUGCGUGUUAAUUAGAAAUCAUAUUUAGGACUGCUGAUGUGAAUUCUAAAUUAACAUUGCAGAUGCUUUCGUUGCUUUGAGGUAAGUUCUGCAUCAUUUAUUCAUUUGCUUUCUUGAGUGUUAAAUUGGUGGUAUGCGCACAUGUAUGAUCACCUCACAUGUUAGGAAGUUUAUUUAAAAUCAAUUCAAUUGCCAAACAUUUCUGAAAAUAAAAAGAAUGGUACCGAAAGGGCAUUAGAGAAAUCUAAUGUAAUCAAGUCCCCGUACCCUUAGUCUCUGGUUCGUAGGAGUAAAGUAAUUCUCCCAUUAUUUUACUUAGGUGUCUAAUCGACCUACCAUAAACUGAUUAGUGGCGACUCCUAAAUAAAAUCAAUUUGCAUGUUAAGAAUUCGAACCUAAGUCGCGAAUUGGUAUGGGCUUGGGAGAGCCCGAGUUAAGUCUAGGCUUAACAAUUCAUUAGCCAAACCCUAGGUGGUUCACACCCCGAAAAAGUGGUCGUGACAGAUACUGAAGUUUAUCUUGAAUGAUUUUCCCUCCUUGAGCAUGAUCUUGUUUGUAUGCACUAUUCCUAAUGGAAAUAUACUGACAUCUUUGACAUUGUAUUGAGAAUAUGCAGAAUGUGGUGUUGGUUCAUUUGCCAGUUACAUAUAGAUAAUUGUGACUAUUUGUUUUAGGAGCAGAAUCAGAUUUGUUUUGGCUUUGUAGAAGCAUUUACCUUCUAGAUUCUUGAAUAAGAGCAUUCUGAUGGCUAUCAUAGCUUCACAUAUAUUUCUCCAAUUUUACAUGGUGUCUGCAUCGACUCCAGCUUUUGGAACAUUAUGGAUGUCCAUGAGAGGAGGGUUAGUUUCAUCCAUCUUCUUUUAGCAGACAAUUAUUUAUGCAGCUAUGAUCAAAGUGGCUGCUUUUAGAUGCUAGAAAUGUGUCUCCUGUAGCAAGAGGUUGAAGCAAGCUUUUCACAACCCGUGCACUAAUAGUGUUCUAGUGCGCGGUGUUGAUGCCUCUCGACAUGGUGUCUUUGUGCCGACAUGUGGUAUCCACAGUGGGCAGGUGAAUUCACUGAAUAUCUGAUUCUUUUACUAGUUUGCGAUGUCCUCUCUCUGUGAUUUCCUUGAUAAUAUUACUGGUGCAGCAUAAUGGUUGAGCAGAUAAUCAAUUGAAUGUGGGGUUGCUCUAUCCUUAAUUGAACUGUGUAGGGAUAUUGUAUGCAUGUUGGCUUUUGGGUGACCAUGUUUAGUGGUUAAGACUUUAGUUUUUUGUUUUCGAUUUUUAUAGUACUCUCCUAGGUCCUUCAUGUCCUAAGAUAGUGCUGGCUGGUAAGCUCGACACUAUUUGUCUGAACAGCCUCAUUUAACACCAAGAAGUUUCUUUGGAGUUGAAGAUUACUUGGAUGAUAACAACAGCUGGCCAUACAAUUACCAAAAGGGGAAAAAGUCCAAGAAUUCGAAUAGGCACAUGUCCUUCACACAGCACACCAUAGCCUAGGUGGAGCCGUUCAUGCUAGAUGUUUUUAUCUCCAAGCACUUUUUCUCAACUUCACUGACUCACAGGGCCACGUGCAAGCAGGUUGCUGUUGCGGGUACCAACUCUAAGGACAUCAAAGCUGUACUCAAGUCUCGAUUGGACAUAAUUGCCUGUUUGGCCAUAGGCCGGAUUCUGGCUGACUGGGCGAGGGAAGCUGAUGUGUGCACUGCUUCCUAUACUAAAUCAAAGCAAUAGUUCAGUCUCUAAUUGACAGUGGCAUCAACAUUAAAGUUUAUAUUGACUGAUUUUCCCUCCUUGAGUGUGAUCUUGUUUAUACCUUGUAGGAGUAUACUAACAUCUUUGACAUUGUUUUGAGAAUGUGCAGCAUGUAGUGUUGGUUCAUUUGCUAGUUAAAUAUAAAUAAUGGCGACUGUUUGUUUGACUGGUGCAGAAUCCAAAUUUGUUUUGGCUUGUUGAAACAUUGACCUUCUCGAUUCUUGAAUGAGCAUUGUGAUGGCUAUCAUAGCUUCAUAUGUCUUUCUGUCAUUUUGCAGGGUGUUGAUAUCGACUCCUGCUUUUGAAACAUUAGGGAUGUCCAUGCCACGAUGAUUAGUUUCAUCCAAUCUUCUUAGCGGACACUUUAUUUACAAAGUUAGAACCAUAGCUCUUGAGAGUCCAAAGUACUAUCAUCACAUGGAUUGGCAAGUAAUAUCCUACUCAAAUUAUCAUAACUUAAGUUACUUUAGUUGUCUAUUGUUCAGUUUUUUUACUUGAGUUCAUAACAUAGAGAUACAUAGAUAUUACUUCGCCUGCAUUUGUGACUUGAUGGUACAUAAUCAAUUAACUCGAUAUCGCGUGAUAUGGUCAUUGUAUUCUUGUGGAAAAUAUGAGACUAUAUUUAAAGUGUUGUUUAGUCAUUCUUUUUCUUCUGCUUCUAACUUUGACUCUCUUGGACAAAAAGAGUAGGCCUCAUUGAAAGGUGAUUUUAUAUGAUGUGCUGCUUUUCUAAUGUUAUUUCUUGCCAAUUUACUUUUGUGGAUACUAAGAAAAAAAAUUUGUACAUAUUUGAUGCCAUUCUAAUAUUCCUGUGUUAUUACCACAAUAGUAGGAUCGCCUAUGUUGACAUAAGAGUCUCUCUAAAUUGCAAUGAGUUCAAGCUAUAAUAUCGUCAAACCAUCAAAGAGAGAGAAAGAGGCAUUGGAUCCAAUUUACUGUAGAAUUCCUUCAUAAACCCCUCGCCCCAGCUUUCUGAGAUUCACAGAUCACGAUAGUACCUGCAUUUUACUCACUCCUCUCCCCUGGCGGUUGAGCCACAUAUUAGGAUAAAGAGAGAUCCGAAAUCCAAUCUGCUCACAGAUGGAGUGUGAUAUUGACAUGUAAGGAAAGUAAGCUAGUUGAUUGAAGGUGAUCUAAUUGCUUCGCAAUUCACCUAUUUUAGAUAAAUCCACAGCAAAAGCAGAUGAUCUAAGGAUCACUCAGGUUUGGAGCCUAUUGCAAUUUCAUAUGUUCAUCGGAUGGCUAGUAUGAAGAAGAAAAGCUCACUUGCUAGUUGUUAUUGUCAGAUAAAGUUUGAAUUCUGCUCGUCCUCUUGUUGCAGUUUUAGUUGUAUUCAUUGCUUUUUUGGUGCUUCAUCCUCAUAGCUCUUUCCAUAAGUGCCAAUAUGGACCAUCAAUUGUUUUUUAAUUGGAUUAGGAAGUAAUACUCUCCUAGCUAUGGAAAAAUGUCAUCGGGGCAUCUUAAGAGUUCCUAGUAAUCUGACUCUUCCAUUGUUUCAAACGAGUUCAUAAAAUACAUCAAAUAGCUCACAAACUUAAAGCACUAUAGUCAUUUCCAUGACAUGUUUGCACUUAAAGUGCUGCAUAUCUCUGUACUAGUCAAAUGUCCACAAUUUAACAUAAUCAAUAUAUAAUGAGAUAUUGCGCAGCAAAACGUUAUUUCUGAGUCCCAGGAUAAGGUAGCUGUGUUUGGUCGGGGGUUAUUUACUCCUGAAUCAUAUUUUGAACGUGUCAUUUUCCAUGCACUUGGUUUCAGUGAAGUACAAAUGCAAGCCAUCUAUAUCUUGUCCGAAGCAUCUUCUUCUUCAUAUUUCCUUCAGAUAGUCACAAAGCAAAAUUCGGAGUUUGACCCUGUUGCUUCUUCAUAAAAAUUUAUAAGUAGGAUUGAGAAACCUGGUUAUCUGAUUAUCCAUGCUGAGGAAUCUGUUGAUUCUAGGACCACUACUGGAAUAAUAUUUCUCUUUUACCAGUUCUGAAAACAAAGAUCCGUUUUCUGGAAGUUUAAGCUGUCCAAAGUCUCUUCAAAUGUCCUGUUUGAUAUUGUUCCUUGCCAUAUCUUUUCAUUGCUUUAUCUCUCGUACUCCGGUUUAUUAGGAUCUGUUUCUGAGAAUGUCCAGAGUAGUUGAGUCUGGGGUUUCUUGUCCUAGUUCGUUGAAGCUGUCAUCAUUCGUCUAAUAUAUUACAAUGGGGGCACUAGUUGACAUACUUUAAAACUCGUUGCAAGUGCAAAUGCCUUUUCUUAUGCAGUUCGUAGUACUUGGGCUAUCUGUGUGUUAAUUUGCUUCUCGCUUAUUACAGUAUACCUCAGGUCAAUGGCAGACUUGAAGAAACUUCACAAAAUGGUGCCAAUUUUACUUUACCAGCUUCUCUUCAAGGGCAUGAAAAGGUGUCUGUCGUUCUUAAAUAGUUCACUACUGUUCAUUCUAAGGAGCCCUUCGAUCAUAUUCAACAUGAAUCUUGCAAAAGUUGUCAAUAAAGAAGAUGAUUACGCAAGUCCUAAAAUGUACCAUCACGUAAAAGUUAAUUUCCACGAGGAACAUCUUGAAUCUAACAUUGUAUCCAUUCGUUUUUUGCCAAAGACCUAAUUGUUGAUUAAAAGCUAAUUUCCACAAUGCACUAACAGCACUUCUUGCUCGAUAUUUACAUGUUUUUUUUUUCUUUUUUCGCUUGGAUGGGGUGUCUAUUCUUGUCUUGCUCAGCCUCACCAUCUUUCUUAUCAUUCGGCAAAAGAAAAAAGAUUAAUGAAAAGGAAUUGCCAUAAUCACAAGCCCGCUCAUAGCAAUCAGAUGAGCAAUGCUGGUUAUCGCCAUUGAGAUCACUUGUAAAUCUUGUCUUGAUGGAUCUCUCAACCGCGAUUAUGACCCUACCGAUGACAAUUGCAAGCUCAUGCUCAUGCCCCCAUAAUCGACCCCUGCAACACUAGCUAUGUGUGAAUUUUAAAUGACACCAUAACCCACUAUGGCCACUUACUCCAGCACUCAAUGUUAGCAUCCGGCUAUGUACAAGUCGCAGUAGCGUGGUCAAUGGGAAAAAAGAAAAAAUUGAAAAGGAAAACGAGGUGCCGUCUCCUUCCAUUGCAUGACAUCAUGUCUAUAUCUUCCUGUUAAAUGACCCCGGCGCGGAUUUGCUUGAGUUCGCGGAGGGAUUUGCAGUCUUUGAGGUACGAAACGAACGAUGUCGGGCUCGGAGAGAGGGAGUCGGAGGAGGAGUUGAGGAAAAGUCUUGAACAGACGUGGCCGGGUGUUGGCAGAAAGAACGGGACUCUGACUCCAGCCAACAUGUGCGAGGCUCAAAACUCAAACAAAAUUUGGGGUUUUAUAUACUAAUGCAAAGUGAUGAUGAUGAUGACAAUGGUGAUGAUUUUCAAAAGGACCUAAAGGGGAUAUUGUCUCAAAUAAGAGUAUAAAGUGAUUAACUUAGGUGCGUUUAGUUUUUUUAUUUAUUUAUAGAAAUAGUCCUUUAAUAUUUCUAUUCUUAACAAUUUCUAAGUGAAAGAACGUGUUUAGUAACUACGUAAAAAAUCUGUUCUCAGAAUUAAAAAAGAAUAAGAAAGCAUUUUUUAUGCCAUAGAAUUUCUUUUUAAAUUUUUUAGAUUUUUUUCCCCUCUCUUCUUCUUCUUUCUCCUCCUCUAGCUUGUGAUUGGCGAACGGUUGCUGGCGAUCGGUGACCAGCAACAGGCGACGAUAGAGGAUAGCGGCGGUCAAUUGGCGACAAUGGAGGACGACGGGGGACAACGGGGGCAGCAGACAUCGAGGAAGAAGAAGUAAAGGAAAAAAAAAAAAGAAAGGAAAGAAAAUGGCUCAUUUAUAAAAAUUGUUUCCGGAAAUAAGAAAUUACUUGUUUCUACUCAUCAUUUCUAUUCCAAAUCUAUUCCAUAACUGCUUUUCUAUUUUGGAUAAUGGAAAAAUUAAUUGACGUUACCAAACAAAUUUCUAUUCUUUUUCUAUUUCGAGGAAUGGGGAACAAAAAAGCAAAAGAACAAAGAAACAGGAACAUUGCCAUGCAGUGCCUUAGUCAAUCUCAACUUAAAAGCCAGCUAAAUCUUAAUUGUAGCUAGGGUAUUUCCGUCUAAAGACCUUCUUUCUGUCCUUUCUUCUUUUAUUUCUUUCCUCUUUCUUUUCUUCAUCGUCCUCGUGCCUCCACCUUCUUCGCUCUUUAGAUCGCAUUCUGUAGAGUCCAUCUCUAUCUUCCCAGCCAACCUCGCCAUCGACGCUCUCAACCUCCCCCAUUAUGCCCUCAACAGCAGUUCCAGUACCUUUGUGAAAAGAUGUAAGUCUAUCCGAGCCCUAGAUCGAGCACGAGUGGGCCAAGAUGUGACACUUUGCUCGGUUUGACCCCCACAUCUUGUGGUCGUGGUCAAGCAUGGCGAAGUGUAAUCCAUUAGCUCGCUGUCCUUGUCGUCGUUGAUGCUUGAACUCAAAUUUGUCCUCGUGGUCAAGCAUGGCGAAGUGUAAUCCAUUAGCUCGCUGUCCUUGUCGCCGUUGAUGCUUGAACUCAAAUUCGUCCUCACGCAAGCUAUGAUCAAUCUCAACGAGAAGCUGGAUUGAAGUCCCUAAGCGAAAUUUAUUAGAGGUGUUUUGAGGAAUCCCUAUGAUAUUCAUGUGCACCAAUUCGUUCAGUGAAAUGUGCGAUUUUUGGGGAUUUCAGAGCGAUUUUCCAUUUUAAUCAUCUUAUUAUUCUCAAUAAAAUCUAUGAAGAUAAUAUUUUAGAGUUAGAGAUGCAAAUUUGUUUCUACAUUUGUGGAACUAGAGUCAUCUGUUUUUGAGAUUGAGUGCUCUCUGAUUCGAAUCGCUAGUGGCAACGAAUAUCUUCAAUUAUGAGUCAGAAUGAUUCAACAACCUUUGUAGAUAACCAGCUUGUGCUACACAAUUGGCCCCUCUCGAGAAGCCACAUAUUCCACCUCAAUGCAAGCUGCGUCUAUCAAUGUUAUGAAUAAUCCAACCCAAACCCAACAUAACAUUCCCUAGAAAUUGUGAGUGAAAGUUAUCACGGCAUAGCCAAUUUCUUUAGCUGGGAGAACAUGAAAUUGUUGCACUAAUUACCAGGAUAAGUUCUUACCAGCAAAAAGAAUAAAAACAAAACCCAUUUAUGGAUUCUCCAUUCUCAAGUUUUUCAUCAUCAUCGGAUAAGGUGACUAGUGGCAAAUAACUUCAAUUCGGCUUCUGCUGAAAUUGAAUAGUGUUGGAUAAGGAUGCGAAAUUGCAGAAUGCAGAGAACGCACGUUGAAGUUUGUUGAUGGGGAGGCUGCAAAACUAAAGCAUGCAAUUUGAGUUUUGGAAAAUUGCAGGACUUCUCGAAUAUCUUUCCAUUUUCUUCUUUUCCUAAAUUGUUCAAAUUGUUUUGCACUUGUGCAAACUCGUGCAUGAGUCUGACACAGUUGUCAAGAAAGAGGUGAUGCAACUGGAGAAGGAGGAGGUGCAAGCAAGACGAUGACAGAAAGAAAAGAAAAGAAAAAAGAAAAAACAAAAACAAAAACAAAAAAUCCUUAGAUGAAAAUACUCCUAGCUGCAAAUAAGAUUUGCCUGACUUUAAAAUUAGGGCUCUUAUUUGGGACUAAGUUUGUCAUUUCAGACCCUUAUUUGAGAUAAAAUCUACUUUAGGUCUUUCUUUUUUAGAAAACAGUUACACUUCAGGUCUUUAUUUGCAAUAUUCCUUAUAAUAUAUGAUCACAGCAAUGCUUAGGCUUGAUUGUCGCAAACUCUAAGCGAUACAGGCUUAAGAAACUUAGUCCGGACAAAAUAAUUGAAGCUACCUCAUAUAUGCACAACUCACUUUUCAUUCAACGGUUCAUUGCGGAGAACUUUUGGUGCCAUCCACUCAGCCUGACACGACCAAGAACUUCACAUUAGGAACAGCUCAAAAUCUCGAGAAACAUCAAGAAUGGUUUCUUCAAAUCCAAAUAUAAAAUAAAUAUGGAAAACAAGACUCUCAGACUCUUAGGGAAUUGUUUAGUAAUUCUAUGGCAAACUGUUUACUAAUUUUACAAAUUAAAACACUGUGUACUUGUUUGUCCGACUAUUUACAUUGCAUUAGAGAAGAAGUCUACUUCCGAAAUGACAAUGAUGUUUCCAGCCGUUUUCUCUUUGUUUCCUCUUUCGUUGCUAAUUGUCCAUUUAACUUCACUGAAAGUUAUCAGUAGAAACCAUCCAAAUGUCUCUCUAUUUCAAUAUAGUUGGAUAUCUUUCUCUCUUCAUCAUUGAAAAUUCUUCAAGAAUGAUUUUCAAGAAAGCUUCCAAUUUUACCGUUUCAGCAGUUGAGCUAAAUGACAAUAAAGUAUUAUGCUUCAAGCAUGACAGCCCAAAAUCACAGACCUGCACAACGAUAAAUUUUAGUGAGGAUGCAAAUGAUAUUUUACUGCAAACUUUGAUCAUCAUUCACAUCGAAAUCACAGAGCACAUUACUGAUGGAAAUUGCAUCACAUCAGCAAGUUUGGUAAAUCUAGAAUCAUCCACAUCAGGUUUCUAUACAAAUGUAGGUUCAUGUAUGGUUGUGAAAAGAGAAAAUGAGAAGUCAGAGUAUACAAGAAGUAAAGUUCACAUGUUAUCCUAGAAUAAGCUAAUAACAGUCAAUAUCAAGCACAUCUAAGGUGCUCACAAUGUCAAAAAGAGUAUCUGAGAAAAAGAGAAAAAGGCAAGUAAGACGUUAGUAGCACUUAGGAGAUGGAUGAAUGAUAUGCACGCAAGAGAAUAGCUUGAUUUGCUAUUUAAAGAAUUGGAUGAAUGAAUAAAAGUGUCAGGCUACAUUAAUAAAUUUUAUGUACUUUGACGAUCUAGUUUUUGUCAACAAGAAGAUUUGGUGAUUUCAAAUCUCGAUGAACUAUUGUUGGGACGCUUGUGUCCAAGCAAUUCAUUCCCCAUGCCUGUAAAAUUUGCAUAAGCACUUAAAUCGAUAUCAGAAAAGCAAAUCUCUAUAUCUCCAACAACAGAGAGAAGGGAGACCAAUUGUUUCAUACCAAAUCAAGGGCCGUUUUUAUCCUGCGUUUCUCAUUAAAAUGACAGUGAGGACGAUGUAUACAAGCUUCCCCCGGAGAAGUAAACAAAAGUAGAUAGAUGAGCCGCAUCCCCCUAAAAACAAGUGAUGUCGUUCCCAUACUACCAAGGUUUUUUAAGGUACAAAAAAUUGUACCUUGGAAGAUACUCCAUAAUGAUAAAAAGAUGUUGAGACGGGCCACAGCACCCAUGAAAAGAACAAGAUUUGGAUGAUGCAGUCUACGGAUCAUCUGCACCUUGGAACAGAAGAAGAAGACACACUGUGAGUUAUCUUCCUAGAUAUAUUGGAAAGCAUUUGUUGACUCAUUGCUCUGAUUAGUCCUUAUUUAUUUCCUUGCUAAAUAAGCAAAUUAAGCAAACAAAUUAAUCGUUGAACACAACUAUUUCCAUAGACGUGGACAGAUCAUGGAACCCAUGAAAAGUAUGACACUCUGAUGACACUGUCUACGCAUUAUCAGUAAACUUGGCACAGAAGCAAAAAGCACGGUGCAUAGUCAUUUAUCUUACAGUUGUUGGAUAAACCGGUAAAGCAUUUCUUUGUCCUCAAUUUUAUUCUUGCUCAAAAUGCAAAUCAAUUACUGAAUACACUAGUUCAUCAGCUUCCAAAAUACAUACAGAUACACAUAAACUAAACUGAACUUGUAAUCUGUGGAUCUUUCUCUUUUGUUUUCAACUAUCAGACUUCAUGUGUCAUUCAGAUAUUAUGUAAAGAACAUUAAUUUAAUGUCUCGGCAUUAUACAGAUCACCAAAAAAAGCAGACCAAAUCACCAACUCUAUGCCAACAUCAACAAAGCAACGGGAAAGCAUAUUGCCCCUUUUCUCCUGUAAUAUUUCUGACAAUGCAGAAUGCACGGUGCAAUAAGGUAGUCUUACUGGGAAACUCAUGCCUAUUAAGCGGCCGCGCUGUUCUUUCCUUUACAAUGUUCAACCAAGUUUUAUUCUUUACAAGUUUUGAGUUCUCAAUAAAUCUGGAAGAUUUUGUCCCCACAAAAAAAAAAAAAAAAAAAGAACUGGAAGAUAAAAAGCACAAAUGAAAGACCUAUCGAUAGCUUUCUUCUCGUCUAAAGUUAUCCAAAGCAGCACCUGAGAGAUCCUGAUCCAGAAAUUUCUUCACAGCCACCUCCAGGUGAACGAGCAAGACUCAAAGAUGGAUUGCAAUUUAUCUUAGGUCUCAUGAUGCAUUAUAGAUUUUAAAUUUUAAGAGCACAUCACCAAGUAAUUUGCAAAAGGAAAUGUCUAAAUUGCAAAGUACUGAUAAUAAGUGCAAAAAAUUCUUUCGAAAAUGUUAAAAAGAGAGAGAGCCAUCUGCUGCUUCUCUUUCCAUUUCUUGAUAUUUAAGAGUAUAUAAAACCACAAGAACGACAAACUUAAACAACCCAGUGUUUAAAGUGCUUCUACCAAAUGGAUGGGGUUCGAUUGAGUCACGGACUAACAAUAUACAAAAAGACUUUGCAACAGCCUAUUCAUUGUGACUAUUUGUAAAAAAAUCUUCAGUCUUCACAGUGAGGAUUCGAUUACAUCCAGAGAACCUGCAACUCUGUACCGAAGAGCUAAACAUGGAAGCGGAACCUCAACAGCACCUACUAACAGAGUAGCAAGGGGGCCAAAAGUAAAACUCCCUUUUGCUUAUCCAAAGUACAAAAGAGAGAGUAGCAAGACGAGGCCAUGAAUGAGCAAUGAGGAAUUAGUUAUUAUGGUCGGCACCAGUCCAACAAGUCGUGUGCGUAUGUCAAGUUACCAAUUCUGAAGCUUUUUUUACCAACCCAGGUAGAAAUUCCAGAUUUUGAUACCAUAUCUGAUGUCACUAUUACACACACUAGCUGCUUAGUCUAAAAAUCUAAAACGUUAGCACAAAAGCAGGACACUGAAGUACUAACCGUCAUUUCUUUUGACUAAAAAGACUACAUGUCAAAUUCAAGGAGGAUCUUUUGCUUAAAAGUAGUCAUAUAAAAGGAGUCAACGGAUAUAAUCACAUUCCAUAAAUUCAAACAAAUAUAAGUCAGGGGCCUUUUGUCUUUUCUCGGUGUACUGUUCAUCACCCUCUCCUCUGCUGCGUUCUAACCUGGUUCUCAUCGGCUUCCCUUGCUCAAUCCGGCCGUUCCAGACCUCCGUUUGGCGUGAAAUUUGGGGGUUCACCUCCUCUGGUAAGCCCCUCGUUCCUCACCGAACGGAUUCGGUUUUCUUCCUCUCUAUGGCGAGAUCAGAGCUGCCCUUCAUCACGAGAAUCGCCCUGUUGCUGCGCUACUCGAUCCCUCGAGGUGCGGUUGCUGGUUCGACUCCAACCUUCUCAUAGCGGUUGUUAGGCGUCCCAGCACCCUCAGGUAAGCCUGCUGUGCCACGGCCUUGCUCCCGAUCGACUGUUGGUGCGUUUGUACCCUUUGUCCCGGACCGCUAUGCUGCUUCAUUGCUUCCGAACGGCUGCUGGUGCGUCGCCAGCCUAACUCGAAGGGGUUGUGAGGUGUCCCAACACCCUUCUCGGUCAAGCAUGUCGUGCUACGGCCCUAGUCGAGGUACUUCAUCCCUUCAAGUAGGAGCUAAUCAGUCCGUUCAGUCUGUCCGAGCUCUUUGGAGCCUCUGGCCACUGCUAUUCUGAGGUUCUAGCAAGAGUUUCGGUCUCAACAGCACCUGCCUUAGCCUAGUUAGCCUCUCACUUCUCUUUAUGGCUGCUAUGUAGAGGGUUCGGGUGUUAGCUGGCUGGGUAUUACUGUAGUUAUGGCUGCUCCAUUUGCUGUGCUUGGUGAGCCGAGUAUUGCGGCCCAGUUGAGAGCUGGAACGGAGAAGGCUUCUAGCCCUCUCAAUCGAAACAAGGAGGCCCAGUCCUCCUUGCUCACGGGCAAGGCUGUCACGCCCCGAUCUCUUAAACGGGGAUGUCAUGCCCCGAUCCUCCGAGCGCGCGAACAUCCCACUCUGGUCGAUACAAAUGCGACUUCCCAGGACACGUCGCCGACCCAUUCAAUUUUAUUAUGCAUGCGGAAGCGAAACAAAUCCCCUGACAACAUUAAACUUGGGAUAGAAAAGCAGGCAAUCAAUCACAACCAAACAAGCUUUCUUAUAAACACAUAGGUUUAUAUACAACACUGGAUUGCCUACAAAAUAGACCGGCUCAAUAAAAAGGGAACUGUCCUAUGACCAACUUGUCAGACACGUUCACCGAUUCUUCAGACUCCACCUUCCGAACUCCAGGACUUCCGGUCCUCCACGACCGUUAUCUAGGGACCUGAAAUAUUAUCCCACAACCGGGAUAAGACUACGUCUCAGCGAGUCCUACCAUCUAAAACUCAAUUAGGAAGAAAAUACGCCUCAGGGCGCUCUAGCCACACAAAUAGGAUAGAUGGCUUACCUCGCCUCAGUCCCUUUCCUGCACGUCAGUACAAUUCAUAUUCAAGCAAUGCUCGUACAAGCUGAAACUACCGACACUUAUAUCGGUCUAUCAAUUCAAUCAAUCCAAUCAUUCGCAAUGAUUCAAUUCAAUCAUAUUAUCUAUCUUUCCAUACUGUCUACCAAACCAGUCGUUAAUACGACAUAUGCUUUCCAAAGCUGUAGCUGAUAGAUAAUAUAAUAGCUCGCCAGAAGCUGCCGCAAUAUUCAUAUAGUAUACUAUAGCUCACCAGAAGCUGCCGCAAUAUUCAAUAUAGUAUACUAUAGCUCACCAGAAGCUGCCAUAUAUAUAUGUAUAUCAUAAUUGCUCGCCUAAGCGGAUACAUAUAUAUAAACUAAGCUGAUCAUUCAAUAAUAAACCAACUCAUACCUCAAUUUAAUCAAUCAAUCAAUCAAUCCAAUCGAUUCAAACUGGUUAUACAAACCAAUUACGGUGCUAAAAGCCAACACCGGGUAUUUUCAAGUUAAAUACCACAACUUCAUCAAUAUCACUCAAUUCCACACUUUUGGAAUUAUUAACCAUAAUCAUCAAUCACUCAAUUUCUCAAUUUAAACAUACAAUUAACACAAACCGACCGCACUGCUGCGAUCAGCGCGGAAUUCUAACGACCGGCCAUCCCGGCAUAAUUUUCGAAAUUAUUAAAUAAUUAAAUUUAAUUCCGAAAAUUAAAUAAUUAAAUUUUAUUUUAUAAUAAUAUAAUUUAAUAAAAUAAUAUUUAUAAAUUCGAAAUAAUUAUUUAAUAAAAAAUAAUUAAUUAGGGCUUAAACUAGAUUACACUAAUUUAAACAUACAAUUAGCCCUAAUUAAACAUCCAUUAAACUAAUCACACAACUAAUCUAAUUUACAUUAAAAUAAUCUAAUCUAACCACCUAAACCUAAUUAGACUAAUCUAAACACCCCUUAAGCAUCAUUAACUCACUAAGCAAGAAUUAGAGGAUAAACUCACCGGAUUAACAUUCCGGCGAGUCCACGGCGAAGGCGACGCCAAGGCGGUCGAUAAACCCCAAAGCGGCGACACCAACGGAGGCCGGGAAGACACUGAAAACGGGCCUCGAAGUCUCCAAAACCUUGCUGUCUUCUGCUUCUGAUCUGGACUGAACUGUAGAGAAGAAACCAGCAACUUCAACGGCGAAAACGAGCCGAUCGGAGCUCCGGCAAGCGGGUGGUUGGCAACCAAUGGCUCCCGGGGGUCUUGGGGAUCUUGUAGGAGGUUGGGAUGGGCAAAGGAAGGGUCGGAAAGGGGCGAAACAGCAAGAAAACGCGAAACAGGCGGAACCGGGCGGGUCCAGACGGUCCGGCGAGCGGCGGCUUCGGGCGGCAGUACGGGACGGCCGGAGAAUCGUUCCGGCGAGCGGAGAGGUGCUCCGGAGCGGUCUGGAUGUCCUCUUCGCGGAGAUGGGUGGCUCGUUUGCUGAUUCAACCGGGAAGUUAACUUUUUACUUGGAUCUUUGGCGAAAGGUCAGUUGGAGCAGAAACUGGAACGAGGGGAAAACAAGAGAGGAAAACGGCCGACGAUGGCCUUUCGGGCGUGCGACGAUGGAGGGGCUGGUGAGCUCGGUUUCCUCUGGUUCUCUUGAGCUUUUCCUAAGCCUCAACCAUGGAGAAAGCCAUGAAUAAAGGAAGAAGAUGGUCUGCUGAAGAGGGGGGUCUCCUUGGUGGCUCACUAGAGCUCAACACUUGUCUAAACCUCAUUUGCUUUGCCCCCACCAUGACAUCACAUGACAUCAUCCACUCUCUCUCCUCAAUCUUCCUCCACAACCUUGCCAAUAGGUGCAAAAUAGCUCUUCCCCAUGGUAUACGAAUUUCAUACAUUUGUACAUCAAAUUCAAUCAAUUCUCACUCAAUUCCAUCCAAUUGAAGCUCAAUUAAAUCAACCCAUGUGUCCUCGGCCUUCUCAUGAAAUUUCCCCAUCAAAUGAUCCAACUUGCAUCCCGAAGAUUCGAUUAAAAACGGCCCUCUGACAAUCCCGAACAAAAACGAGAUUACUUUGCUUUUCCGCCAAAAAUCUCGGUUUGUAGAAAAAUCUUCUGGAGAUGAGUCGACAUUCCUAAAAUGAAUUAUGACUUGACAGAACUUCCAAUUUCUAUAAUCGGGUUCAAUUUCACGGUUAAAUUCAAUCUGGCGUGACUUUAGCGCAUCAUAAUCUACCGGGUAGCUUUUAGGAAUUUUCUGUGCAAUUGACCUGUGGUUGAUUAUUCUCAAGCCACAAAGUGCAUCUUUGACACAUUGGCGACUCUUGAUUGUCGUAGAAAUCUCGAGGUUUCAAAUACGGACAUAGGGUACCAAAACGAUAGAGAAAUCGGUCUAGUGUCGAUCAACAAGAAUUGUGCAAUUAGGUGGAAUCACCCAUACUGAAUUACAUGGUUAUGUUGAAUCGACCUAUCUCCGGUCUCUAAUCGGUCUGUGCCGUAAUGACCCUUGCAGAUUAGUACGGUCGAGCAGUCGUUUCCUGGUCGAAUUCUCAAGUCUAUUGCGUUUAGAUUCCUUAACGGCUUCACCUGAUAGACUAGUUAUCUCGUGAGUGAUCAGCUCAGAGAAGAAAGCUAUAGACGCGAAGAUGAAAUGCCCGACUUAUUUAAUUGAAACUAGAAUUGGAAAAUCGGGAUGUCACAAAGGCUAUUACAAUAGCAGAGACCUCAAACUGUGGUCGUCCCAAGGAUGCAGUCUGUGAUAGGCGUUCAAGAGGAUGAAGCAGAGCGAGGUCGGCUUCCAAACGGCCCCAGGCCUCGCAAAAGCAAGUGAGGAAACCAGAGGCCCCGGUUGCUCAGACGUGGGCAAAUGUUGCGAAGCUUGCAGCGAAAGGGUAUGACCUUACCUUUGUUCCUCCUUCGUUUGAGAUGAUGUCCUUGUGGUGGAUCUCCCUGAAGAAGUGCUGGAUGCGGUGGAUUCCAAAUGGUAUGAGUGCCUAGUUGGGUAUUAUGUAGGAAGGAGUUUUCCAUUCCAGCUCACGGAGCACACGCUCAAGCUUUAUUGGGGACCGAAGCUUAUUGAGGUCUUCGCCAAUGACCAGGGCUUCUUUUUCUUCUGCAUCCCUGACCCCGAGUUUCGAAGGAAGAUUUUGGAAGAUGGACCUAUAACGAUUGCAAGGGUUCUGCUCGUUUUGCAACGAUGGAAGCCUCUUCUAGAGUUGAAGAGGGAGAAGCAAACCACGGUGCCGGCGUGGAUUCACUUGAAGAACCUACCUCUUGACCUCUGGACAGCCCCGGCAAUUAGUGCCAUCGCGAGUACUGUUGGCAAGCCUUUGUUUGUUAAUCAACGCACGAAGCAAACUCAAAGGAUCUCUUUCGCAAGAGUUUGCGUGGAGCUUCAAGUUAAUCAGCCGAGGGUCUCCUCGGCCAAGGUAAGACUAAAUGGAGUUGCUCGGUUCAUUGCCAUCGAGUAUGAGUGGAAGCCAGCGGAAUGCUUAAAGUGUGGCUCCUUUGGGCACAAUUGUGCAGCCUCUUUAGCUGGUCCGAAGGCGGUGCAAGGCCAGCAGCAGGUUCAAGCCAUCCCCUCCCCCCCAGUGGAGGUCCGCCCCCCCGAGACUUCUCCGGUGUUGGUGGUAGAUCUGAAUGAGGCUAAAUUGGGGUGGAAACAAGUCAAGGGAAAGAAGAAGAAAUCUCCCCCUCCUAAGGAGACGUGCUUAGCCCAUCCGAUCAGCUCUGGAGACGAGGAGCCAUCCCUUAAGUAGGCAGCAGCAACUCUUAAGAGCUUGCCAUCAACCUCUACCCAGAGGGCUCAGAGUGGACUUCGAGCCCUCAUCAAGGUGGAUGCUCCUGACUCGACAGUGGAGGAAAACGCCAUUAGCCAUCCAGAUGCAGACUCGGGGAGUGGAGCAGAGUUGAAUGGGUCUGCCAACCACCUAGAUAGCUCAGAUGAUGAUCUUCUCUCGCCUUGUCUAUCGCCGAAGGCUCCUCCAACUAGGAGCAAGGAGGAGACUACCCAGGACAAGUUCUUGGCGCUCUCCCCGGUCCCACCUCCUCCAUUGGCUCGUGCGGCUCCCUCUCCGAGCUGUCGCAAGCCACCGAAAAAGAGGUAACCCUUACUCUCUUCCUCUUUUGUACAUAUGUAUAUAGGAUCUGGAAUAUUAGAGGCCUUGUCGACCCGACUAGGCAAACGAAGAUUCGUAACCUCAUUAUUUUGAACCACUUGUGCUGUAUUGGUUUGGUGGAAACUAAGGUGCCACAGGAUCGCUUCAACUCCAUCUCCGAAGGUCUAUUGAGGGAUUGGUGUUGGAUUGUAAACUAUGACUUCUCCCCCAGGGGUAGAAUUUGGGUUGGUUGGGACCCCGUGAGGGUUAAGUUUGAAGCCUUCUUAGUCACCAAGCAAGUGAUUCAUGGGAACUUUGAGAGCCUGGUCUCUGGGGUGGCUUGCUGUGUAUCUUUUAUUUAUGGAGAACACUCCUUUUCGCUGAGGAGACCUCUUUGGGAGGAUAUCAUUCUUAGAAGCAUCCAUCUCCGGGACACUCCUUGACUUGUCUUGGGGGAUUUCAAUGCUAUUAAGGAUCCAUCGGACCGUGUUGGUGGCUCCGAAGAUUGGCUCCCUUGUUUUGAUGAGUUUAGACAGUGCUUGGAGCAAGCCGAGCUGGAAGACUUGAGGUUCGUUGGUUUUAGAUACACUUGGACUACGUCUUCAGGGCAUUCUAGGAAAGCAAGAAAGAUUGACAGGGUUCUAGUGAACGCCAAGUGGAGCCUGGAUCUCUCUUACUCGGAAGCCUCCUUCCUAGCACCGGGAAUCUCAGAUCACUCGCCUAUGGUGGUGAAGGUGCUUAAUUCGACUCACCGGAGGAAGCCCUUCAAGUUCUUCGACUUCUGGAUGAAGCACCUGGAGUUCAAUGAGAUUGUCUCGCAAGUGUGGAAUGCGCCGGGGGGUGGUGUUCCUAUGUAUAGGCUUGUGUCUAAGCUCAAGGCUCUUAAAUGUCGGCUCAAGUAGCUCAAUAGAGAUUCCUUCUCUAAUAUCUCUGCCAGAACUCUUGAUGCGCGGAAGUGUUGGAGGCCACUCAAGUAGAUUUGCAACUAAAUCCCUUUUCCGCUGACCUUACUGAACCCAAACGACACCAGUAAGACGUAUCUUUGCAGAGUUGCAUUCCUCGGAGGAGUCAUUCUUCAGGCAGAAGUCCAAGGUCAUAUGGCUCAGGGAGGGAGACUGUAAUACCAAGUUCUUCCACCAAUAUGUUAACAAAAGACAUUUGAGGAGCAUAGUCAUUUCCAUCCUUAACUCUUCGGGGAACCUGGUGACUGAGCCACGGUUGGUGCAACGACAAUUUGUAGAGUUCUUUGAGGACCUCUUGGCACCGCAAGAGGAGCUCAUUAGAACUUCGCUAGAGGACUUGAGGGAGGUUAUCCACCAUCCACUCUCGGUUGAUCAGGCUGUGCUCCUUGCUCGGCCGGUUACAGAGUUGGAGAUUCGGGACACUAUCUUCUCCUUGCCUAGGGGAAAGGCUCUUGGGCCGGAUGGUUUCACAGCGAAGUUCUUCAAAGAAAACUGGGACAUGGUUGGUCCUUUAGUAUUGGCUGCAGUGAUGGAUUUUUUCACCUCCAAAAAACUCUUGAGGGAGAUUAACAAUACCAUCUUGGUGAUGGUUCCUAAAGUGCUCAACGCCACUUCUGUGGAGGAUUAUAGGCCUAUCGCCUGCUGCAACACUAUUUACAAGUGUAUUACAAAAGUGCUAGUUAAUCGGGUGGCCUUAGUUUUGAAGAGCACGAUAGGCCCUUUUCAAAUUGCUUUUGUAAAAGGCAGGCGGAUCAGGGACAAUAUCUUGCUAGCUCAGAAGCUGUUCUCUAGCUUCCACAUUGAGCCUUAUCUCCCUAAAUGUGCGAUAAAGGUGGACUUCAGGAAAGCCUAUGAUACUGUGGAUUAGGACUUCCUCGAAAGUGUGUUGAUGGCCUUUGGCUUCUCUCAGUCUGUGACUCAACUUAUUAUGACUUGUGUUCGCACACCUAAAUUUUCAAUUGCUUUGAAUGGAGAGCUCCACGGUUUCUUUGCGAGCGGUCGAGGCUCCGCCAAGGUGAUCCCAUUCUCUCUUACCUUUUCACUAUGGUUACGGAAGUGUUUUCAGGGAUCAUUCUUAGGUACUCUUCGAGGCCUGAUUUCAAGUUCUUCUGGAGGUGCAAGGCAGUGGGUCUUUCACAUCUCUUUUUUGCGGACGAUGUCUUCUUUUUUGUGAGGCUCAUCUUCCUACGGUGGCUCUCCUUAAGGAAGGUCUUUAUAUCUUUUCCUAUUGGAGUGGCCUUUGUCCUAGCCCGUGCAAGAGUGAAAUUUUUUUGGCGGGUGUUGAUCCCUCCUUAAGGAAUAAUAUUCUCUUGGAGUUGGGCUUUCAAGAAGGAAGCUUGUCAGUUCGGUACCUGGGGGUUCCCAUUAUCACUUCGAGGAUCAGCAAAGCAGACUAUUGUACCCUGGUCAAUCGUAUCACUGCAAGGGUUCAGUCUUGGACCCACUGAUUCCUCUCUCUUGUUGGUCGGAUUCAGCUUAUCAAGUCAGUUCUUCAUGCUAUACAAGCCUACUGGGCUAGUGUUUUUGUUUUACCUAUAGCUGUGGUGGACCAGAUAGAGAAAAUAUUUAGACAAUUCCUAUGGAAAGGUCUGGACCUAGGCAGGGGUGGUGCUAAGGUAGUCUAGGAUGAAGUUUGCCUUCCAAAAGAUGAAGGAGGACUAGGUAUCAAGAGGCUCCAAGAUUGCAAUAAAGCCGCCAUGCUAAAGCAUAUCUGGCUCUUGUUCUCCGAUAAGGAAGCGCUGUGGUGUAGAUGGGUCCAUUCCACUUUCUUAAAAAACAAGAACUUUUGGGUUGCUAGGAAGCCAACAUCUGGAUCCUGGGCCUGGAAGAGCUUGUUGAACUUAAGAAGGGAUUUCAGGAUGGCCUUCUACUGGAAAAUUGGCGAUGGCCAAACAACCUCCCUUUGGUUUGACAAUUGGCACCCUAGAGGGCCCUUGAACUUGAUCUUCUCAAAUUCUCUUAUCUAUAGCUCAGGGCUCUCUAGGCAAGCUUGUGUUGCUAACCUCUUCUCAGAUGCUGGCCAAGCUCUCAGGAUGGUGCUUGAAUCGUGGGGUCAUCCUCUUCCGGUCUUGGCGGGUGUCCCGGAUCGUUGCUACUGGUGUGAAAGCUCUUCGGGCCAGUUCUCUAUGGCAUUGGCGUGGAACUUCAUCAGGAAGAAGAGGACGCAGGUCCAUUGGUACUCUUUCAUGUGGGACAAUGCCAUAGUGCCUCGAUAUCAGCUCAAUUUUUGGCUCAUGGCCAAGCGCAAGCUUUCAACCCAGGAUCUCUUUCUGUCCUAUGGUAUAACUGGAAGUGCUACCUGUGCGUUUUGCAAGAAUAUGCCUGACUCUGUUGAUCACCUUUUUUUUUUAUUGUUGUGUCACAGCUAGCAUUGCUUUCUUUUGGGCUUCCAGAUGCAAUUUACCUUGGCGUAACAGAACUUGGGGGGAGAAAUUCCGAUGGGCAGCUACCUAUUUGAUAGGUAAAGAUUUCUACAAGUGCAUAGCCCGUUUUUCCUUUGGCGCGCUUUGUCAUAUCAUUUGGAAAAACAUGAAUAACAUCAUCUUUAGAGACCAGCAUCUCUCGGUUCCGGCCAUGAAGAACCACCUCUUCAAAGUGGUCCGAGACAAGGCUAUCACCUUCAGGAACGUCGAAGAUAAUUUCAUAAUCAGAAGGUUGCAGAGAAGUUGGGGCCUAGACCCAAUUAUUUUCACUGGGGACCCAUAGGUAGCUCGAUCUGACGGUGGCCUCCUCCUCGCAUUUGUUGUGUUUGGUAGCCGGUUGACCUAGCCAUGCUUCGUUUGGUCUUGUUGUUGUAGUGUUUGUGCCGUCUUUUGCGGCUUUUACAUCUCGUCACCCUUCCACUUCUUUUGUUCCUACAUUUGGAGUGCAAGUUCCCGAUGUCGAGAUCUUUUGUACAUUUGGCCCUUCCUUAAUAUAUUUAUUACCUUUUACCAAAAAAAAAAACAAAAACAAAUAUAAGUCACAGCCAAAAAUAAAGGAACUCUUCAAUUAACUAAUGCAAUGCCAAUUCUUGAUUUGUAGGAAUUAGAAAUAUUUGAAACCGACCUUGCCAUUCCAGUAAGCAUGAUAGACCUCUCCAUAAGAGCCUGUUUGAAAGACGAUGAAAUGGGAUAAAUUUUUUGACAUAAUAAACAGUAAAUGCAAUUCAAUGAGAAAAUGCUGCGGUACAUCCUAUAAUAACUACUGCAAUUAUGCUUAUAUUCGGAUUGCCGUAAAAAACUUUCUAUCAGAAGGCAUGCACUUCUUGUUACAUGGCUAGCUAGCCAUGAGCAUAUUAGGCGGUAAAAUGGUGAUAAAGCAUAUCUCACAACACUAGACAAAUUUCACCAAAAAUGCAGCAACAGGAUCAACAUAUAUGAAUUCAUGAGUCUUGCUCUCUGAGCUAAUAUGUGGACCUGCAUAAGGACAUGAAUAGAAUCUAUCCAACCAGGGACUUAAUCAAAGCAAUACCUAGUCCAAUCCUUUCACCAAUGACCAAAUGUUCCCAUUGAAUCUCAUCACCAACAUCAACAUCAUCAACUUUAUUGGUAUAACUAUCAAUUGAUGCACUGGGCCCUUCUGAAUUCUUUAACAUGAAGUUUGUGUCUGUGAAUCUGUCAUUAGUGCACCUUUUCAGAUAAGGAAAAGAAUUUUCAUGACCACCACAUCUGCUCGGAAAGUUUGCUAUGCCAUGUUGCAAAUUCUCCAAAGUUUAAGAGGGUCUUCCCUGAUGUGGGCAUUCAAGCGCUCUCACAAGGCAUUGUAUUAUACUGGUCUGUGCUACAUCCCAACAUCAGACUAUUCUUACUGGAAGGAUUUUAGUGACUACUCUCUUUGAUCAAUUGAUUUGUAACAAUACCAUUACAAAUAAACCCACAUCAACAUUUGCCAAUCAAUACAUGACCUCCUCUUUUGAGAAUCAUUAAAUCUUCUUUUUAUAAAAAAAUGCCAGAUGUGGUAUUUUUUGUCACUUCAUAUGUGCACUCAACAAAGAAACGGGGAGAAAGAAAUAAUAAAUCACAAUCGUACGAAGAAGAACACGUAUAGUGACAUCCAAAUAUCGAAUAUCAAGAUCAUGAACUAAUCUCCUCACUGUUUUAGUAUAUACGUCAUUCCUCGUGUUAAUAUCCUCAAACCGUCUUGGGGAUUAUUAGAGAAAAUAUCAUCCAAGACCGAUUCUUGAAGGAUAAUGAGAGUCCCAUCCAUGUAACACUUGACAGUAUUCGGAUAAAUCUCCUCAAGUUUUAGAAAAAAGAAACUCAAUCCACCGCAACCGUUUAAACCAUCGCAGAACUGUAAUUCUAGCUUUCGGCCUUUUAACACGCUUCUAGUGUCAAAUUGCAAAUAACUAUCGAGAGAAGCCCGGUUUGGGAAGUCUAGUUCAUCGAACCCAACUCUUGGAGGACCCGACUCGACCUCUUCUUUUAUGUGUGUCGUUGAUCCAGGUUUGAUGGAUUCCCUUCUUCCUAGCUCUAUAUUCGAUUCGAAUACGCCGAGGAAAGAGAGGAUUCUGGGGAAAAGAGGUUUAGGUUUUGAGUGUUAAGGAUGGAAUCGAAUGGAUUUAGGAGAAGGGUUGGAUUUUGAGGAAAAUCGAAGUGAAAAGGAAGUGAAUCUUGCCUUCGAUUUGAAGAAAUUCGACGUAAAAUGGAGUGGGUGAUGAGAUUCGAGUGAAUGAAGGUUGGAGGUAAGUGAGAUUCGUGGACUUAGAGAGAAAUCGUGGUUUUACAAAUAACUAAUAAAGAAUAUGCAGCAAACAAAAGUUAACUUAAAAUCAUUCAAUACUCACCAUUUUUAUUUUACCCUAGGGCUUAAUAAAACUAUCCGCCAUUGAAUUAUUGGUGUCCGCAAACUCAACCACAAGAAAGUUGAAUUAGAUUUUUCCACAAGCUGGCAGCAUUGCUAUUGUCAAACCUGUGGGAACAUUUUUUUUAUAACAGUUAUUUUAUAAUCACACGAUUGAUGUUUCACCCCGAAAUUUGAGCAUGAUAAUUACCCGCGACAAUAAAUUUGACUUCUGUCGCAACUGAAAUUCUUUGGGAUUUGUACGCUAAAAAUUUUAGAAUUUGUCGUGAAAGAGCAAUUGAGUCAUGAAAAUUUCAAAAAACACAAUCAAUUUCUCAAAUUUGUUAAAUUGGUAACAAUCAAAGUGUGGAGACGUAAUAAUCACUGGUAAAUUGCUUUUUAUGUGAAAAAGGAGGAGGAGGGGAUAUAAAAAUCAAAUGAAUAAAAUAACAAGUGAAAAUAAAAUGAAAAGGUCCUUAAAUUGCUCUAAUCCAUCACUGUACCUCAACCCACCAGACCAAGAUCAUUCAAGUUCGAAUUUCAAUUCAAUUUCACGAGGAAUUUGUCCGGCGAGCUUCUGAAAAAAAAAAUCCGCCGCACUUCAGAUCAUCUGUCUUGGCUGUUCUAUUCCAGCGACCGAUCGCUUGCGAAAUCCAGUGGAAGCUAGACCCCCCGCGCUCCAGGUCUAUCACCACCACUACCAGUCCUAUUCGCCGGAGAGGAAGUGGAGCGAAGGAGAGAUUUCUGCUCCCUCGCGGACCUUUCUUCAUUGAAUCAUCGAGACUCCAAGGAUGAGAAUACUCUUCUGGAUACUCGACUGAACCUACGACGUCGACUCCAGUCCAGUGUUCGACCGCCGCAAACAUUCGAAUCUCCGUCGGCCAAGGCGCCUCCACCUCUGGUCGCUUCGACCUCAGCCAGGUCGAAGAGAUGAAACGAAGUAUUGACAGAAACAUGCCGAAGUCGCGGCCGAUCGAAGCCGCUGCUCCUGAGCUUUACUGAUCACAUCUCCCUGUUCUGCUGUGUUUGUUGUUCGGAGAUCUCGAAGUGCCUUGCACUCACUUAACCCUCCUCUGUCAGGUCCGAUCAUCUCUGGCGACACGCCCAGAACUCCUUGUAAGUUAAGCAGCUGAUCGCGACUGCAAUCGCACAUCAUCAAGGCAAAACUGUUAUUGUUUGUGUGAAAAUCGGCCACGAUUGAGGUUCUAUUAAGGAUUCAAGCUUGCUCCGAUGUUGUUGUGAUGAUCUAAAAGUGAAUCGUCAAUUCAUAUUCGUGUACAAUCUUCUUGAUCGAAAUGCGUAUCACCUGUUUGAUGAAAUGCUCGAACCAUAUUUCUUUCUAUCAAAUCAUUGAGCCGAAAGUCGUAACGCAUCAACUCAACCCACUGUUGACUUAUUGAAACCUCACUGUGACCGAUUUAGUUGGACUUCGAUGCUCACUUGCUAUUGAAUUGGUGUUAUGAUUCUCAUGUUGGAAAUUGCAUCUUGAUUUCUCUGGUUCGAGUCGAGCCUUCUAUACGAACGGAGUUGAGUGUUGGAAUCGUUGCUUAUAUGCUCAGAUUUUUCUAUUGUAUCUCAUUUUGUAUAAUCCAUUUUCGGUAUUACUCUGACGUGUCAUCGCUGUGUAUGUGUUGUGGCCGGCGAACGAUGGCAACCUCAAUCUUUGGACCAGUGAUCGAGCAAGAGCUUGUCCCUCGAAAUAGAAGCUCAGAGAACCUUGGUGACUGUGCUUGACAAGGCCACAAUCAUAACUAUGGACUCUUUAUCCUUCUCUCUGCAUUUAGUUGUCUUCAUUGCAUGUGCUUCUUCUUUGCUGUCCGUCAUUCACAUCUUUGGUUAUUGGUCUGUUUUGGGGUCCUGCGAGCACGAAGUCAAGGGUGUACGGCAGCAACUGGUAAAACUCCUACUCUUUCCGCAUACGCAUUGCUCUCAGCUUGAAAGGUUCGAGUAUGGGUGCAUUCAUGUAAAUCCUCCCUUGCCUAUAAUCUCUGUUUUUGGUUUUCCCUUGCUAUCCUGAUUAUGGUGCGAUCGUAUUUGGAGAGCUUGAGGCCUUGAAUAUUUUAAUUCCACCAACCAAAAAAAAAAAAAAAAAAUCGUAGUAGCUGGAGUUCUUUGGGGAAGUAUUCAUUGCUUUAGGGGAAUUGGGCAAGCAAAAUUAAAAUUUGUAUUGCAGAGCUAGGUAUUAAGCCAAUCUUAACCUAUUAUCUUGCAUUUACUUGGCCAGGGUUUCAAAUAGGAUCCGGUUUUUUAUAAUCCAUUCUAACCUGCACAAACUUACACAUCCAAAUAAUUUGUGGCGAUUACAAAUAUACAAAAGUGGUUUUAGAAUCAAGGUGCCAACAAUCUCCCUUUUUUAUGAUAAGAAAAUCACUUUUAAAGCCUCAAGUUAAACUACUACCCUCAACAUACUACAGGAAAAAUAAAUCAAGUGAAUACAUCGCAUAUAAUAUGCAGAUUUUACUAUUCUUCCCUUUUGUCAUAACAUCAAAAAGGGCUUAAGGUAGAAUGUAUCACCAAACACAUAGUAACCAUUUGUAUAUCAAGGACAUUCAUAAAACGUCAAUUCAACACAAGGUCUACAACCAUUAAGUGCAACAAAAACAUAGAACAAGUUCAACAUAAACUUAAAGCACGUUCAACAUAAAACAACUUCAACAUAAAUUACAAAUCAAUCUAAAUACAAGUUUAAAACAGAGGAGGAAAUAGAGGAUUUUGGGAAAAUAGUGAGGAUUCUGAAGAAAGUAUUGGAUGAAUUGAGGGAUUGAUGUCCUGUCAAAGUUGGUGAAAAACAUUUAGCAUUUCAUUUCUCACCAUAAGGAUUUCUUCCCUAAAGUGAACUUAGCUCAGUUAGAAAGUGCCUCAACUGACAACUAAUCCCGUACUUCAAUGGCUCUUAGAACGCGUCAAUGGUGUCAAUACCCUUUGAAUUAGGGUUGGCCAUCCCAUCCAUUUUCUCUCAUCCAAACUCCUUGUCACCUCUAGAUGUCCAGACUUGUGAGUGUGGACUCUCCAAUGUAUUGACCAUCAAGUAAAGCCUUAGGAGUUUUCCCAUCGAGAUUGCCAUCAAAAGACUUGAAGGUAUGAGUAAGAGCCAUCCCAUCCAGUAAGUCCUUUCCUUUUGAAACACUGCAUUUAACCAUAGUAUCAAGUAUUAAGUCACUCAAAGAUACCUCAAACCCAUUCUUAAUCUUGAAGAUCAACAUGAGUCGGUCCUCACAUGUUAAAUCAAAGAAAUAGGGAGCAAGCUAUAUAUCACAUCAUAUGAAGAUAAGAUUAAUGUAGCGUAACAAAUUCUAGACUCGUGAAUUUUUGGUUUGUAGGGUCUUGCAUCUUUCCUGGGUUUCUAACUAGCCCAUAAAAUGUUAGUGGCAACUCAUUAGUCUAAGUUUAAAUGAAUAAUUAAUUGGAAAACUAAGUUGUAGUUGGUAACACUUGGGAGGAUCCAUGUUAGCCAUGGGCCCACCUAAUAAGAGGAACCACCCUCGGAAAGGUUGCGAUAGUUCUUAAAAUACUAUAUGUUUUCGUACUAGUUUAAAUGUCUACUCGUUACGGGAGAAAGAACUCCAAAAUUUAACACAAUCAAUAUAUGACAAGAUCUACAAUAAGAUGUUAUUAAUAAAUAUUGCAAAAAAAAAAAAAAAAUUGGGAGCAAAUGAACACAAAAGGAUGAGAUGAUGUAUCACCAGAGAAUGUCGAGGAUUUCUACCACAUAUUGCCAUAAUAUAACUUCUAAUGGUCCUUCUCUUGAUGCUACGACCGUGCAUUGGCUAUAACACUAAAAUAUAUUGAUGAAAUUUAUUCUGGCAAUAAACAUAGCUAAUGAAGAGAUAGUGAUUGUGGAGCAUACAUCAUCUUCCUCGUUGGCUUAAAAAUACGAGAUCAAAAUUCAACGCAAAUAUCUUAAUCCAUUCCGCAAAAUGAAGAUAAUCACCUAACCCGCAUGUCCUCACGUCUCUAAAGCAAUGAUUUAAGCAAUUUUUUUUAAUCCACAAUACUUAUGUCAUCAUUAUUAUUUAGGAUAGUCCAAAUGGUGUGGUAGAAAUACAAUUCAGAUGAAGGUGCAACUAGAAACAAAACCUCAAAAGGAGAUGAGAGGAAGCGAGCCUAGUGCUGAUCAAACCGAUGCACUCUUAUGCCACCUCUUGAGGAAUUGUAUAAUCAAAUUUCUGAACACUGCUAAACUUUCAAGGAGGAGAUUUGCUAAUAGGAUUAUAUAUAUUUUGUAGGUUUUCAAUUGUGAUUUUCUUGUGCCUUACAUUGAUUUGUAUAGCUGACUUUCAAAUAUUUCUUCUUUUAUUUUGGAUUUAAGGGGAGGGAUCAAACCAGGCAUCUAAUGAUUUAGUGAAAUUCAUUUGUCGUGGAACCAAAAUAGUUAACAGGCUUUGCAUGAGUCUAUAUGGUCAAGUAGAAUAGGCAUGCUACCGAUUACAAGAGUUCCUAGCCACGAACCAUCCAUUAACUAUAUAUAUAUACAAACAUAGUGUAAUUAAUUAAUAAACUUAUUCUCUUGUGCAGGCUAGUGUGAGCAAAUGUAAAUGGUGAUGAAGAAACUAUUUUGUUACUUCUUAGGCCCUUGCAAUUAUGUUUUGUCUUGCACGAGUCGAAGCUUACGAAAGGAAAAUAUAAGUCUCUUUCCACGCAUUUGUAAGCGAGAAGAGGGAAAUUUUAUGGUGCGCUCACGUAAAUAUUGCUCACUAAUCAAAACCAUUCCUUAUUAGACAGGAAAUGGAGCUCGCGGCCACCCGGCUCACGCGAGCUCCGGCCACUGGCCGUCCCUCUUUACGCCAUCAUGCGUAUUCUGGUUCGUCGACGAGAGUGCCGUCGCAGGUUCCGACCCCGUUAGGGCUAGGGAUCUCUCGCUUCGGUAGCGCACUCGAGCCGUUCGACAAAAUGCCACAAUGAGAUCUGGGUUUUAUUUGCCUGUUUUGGGCAGAGCUGAGUCGUUCAUGCUUGUCAUGCUCCCCGGUGGCCUUCCUGCGAUGCCGGAUUCCCUGAGUGUUGGCCGUUCAUUUGUUCCGUUGCCUCCGUCGUUGUUAUUGUGUGUACGGCCGAGGAUACCGGCGGCGAGAGCGCCGGUUGAGGAGGGGCAACUCGGGCAAAGACCAAGCCCGCGGUUUGGGCCACCCAAGGCGACGACCGAGUGGGCGUACAGCACGGCCAAGGCGAGCGGCGCCGCUGUCUCAGCUGGCCAAACCGCGGAGAGCAGAGGGUGCCGCGAGGAGCGCGGAGAACGCCAGGUGGUGUCGGGUCGGAUCUGGGUCAGGAACAGGAUCCGAUCGGAUCUUUAGGGUUUGGUCUUUGGGCUGAGAUGAAUUACAGAUGUUGGGCUUAUUUUGUUUUCUUGGGCUAGAUUUAGUUUAUUUGCUUUUUAGGGGCUGGGCCCGCAAAUCAGACCCAGUCCGGCUGGGGGUCUCGCUACCCAGGUCGCGGGCCCGGGCUGCCUUCGACCUCCCUUUAUGGUAAUAUUUUAUUAUCUAUAUAUCAAAAUGUAUUUUAAAAAAUUAAAAGAAAUUCAAAAGAUUCUGAGGUGAGGAAAGGCAUUAAAAAUAACUGUUGAGUAAUUUUCUCCAAAGAAAUGUAUGAAAAAAAAAUUAAAUCUAAAGGUUUAAAUAAAAUUAGGUAACGAAAUGUCAUUAAUUAAUUAAUUGGUGUAAUCAAGUCCUUAAUCCUAAUUUCUCUGGUUGUACAUGAGUAAAAUGUUUUUUUCAAUAUUUUAUUUGGAUUUUUAAUUGACCUACCAUAAAUUGAUUACCGACGGCUCAUAUAUGAAAUGACUUGCAAGUUAAAAACUCGAACUGUAAAUCACAAAUUAGCGGGCUUAGGAGAGUCUGGACUAGGCUUGGACUUAGCCACCCAUUAACCUCUGCGCCUACAAGAGUGUUUGAAGAGGUCGCAACAUGUGCAUAUCUCCUUUUAUUUACCUCAUAUAUGCACUCAACAAAGGAACACUUCAAUAUGUAUUUAGUAAUGCCAAAAAAAGAGAAAAGUUUUCAGUGGGCCAAAGAUCAGUUAUUGUUGACUUUUGAGCACUUGUUAGGGAAGUGCUCACACGAAGCACUACGAUUUAAGGACCAAAUUAACUAGUGGAAAAUUCACAUGAGUCCACAUGAUCAAAUAAGAAAUAGUUGUUAUCAAUUACGUUAUGGAGGAAGUUCCUACAUACGAGCAAUCCAUUAGUUAGAUAUUAUGAAAAAAAUAGACUAAAUUCUAUUGUGCAUAUAAGUGUGAGUCUAUGUCUGGUCCAUAAUGAAAGGAAAAUAAUGCAAAUCACUGUGGCCAAAAGUAAUGGCCGACAAAAAUAAAAGCACCCUUUGAACAACAUCAUCAAAUUUUCUAGAAUCAUUUUUGAGGGAUCAGCAUCACCAAGCUUAGCAAACCACAGAAUUAGCAUUACAAAGAAAAGGUGGAGGGCAUCGCAGACUUUUACAUGCUUGAUGAUGCAAUCACAUUAGCAUUUGCACAAUGCUUUCUCAGUAAAUUGAAAGGAAUAAAGGGGAGGGAAAAUGCGACAAUUGCUUUUGCUUCAAGAUUCUGUUACUUUGUUUUUUUUUUCUUUUCUCUUUGAUAAAAAAAACAUUUUAUUUUGCAUUUAAAGUCAUUAAUUUUUUUUUUCUGUUUUAUUUUUUCAAUGAUAAAACUAGGCCACAUCAGCUUAUCAUACAAGCGUUAUUUGCUGCGUAAUCAAUGAUGAGUUCAUUUUAUUGGUUAAAGUGAAAUUAUUUUUAUUCCUUUCACAUAAAUACGUGAUUUUGUAAUGAUUUGGCAUGGACUUCAAAUGAUAUCUAUCUACAUCUUAUGUGCUAUUGGCACUUGAAUCACGUGUAGCCACCCUCUUUAUUAAAAUAUAUACACGAAAAAGAAAAAUAGGAAGAAUAAACAAAAAAUGGGUAAAAUAACUGCAACAUAAACUCAUUUCAGUGGCACCAAUAUUGAUCUCUCUAAGCUUUUAUAUGUCCGUUAAUGGUAAUUGUAUGACAUCAUGUUUAACUAUCUUCUUGUUGGUACCCUAAUAUGCGACUUAAAAAUAUUUGGUAAACUUGGAAAAUUAGCAAGUCUUUGCGCACUUUUAUUAAGACAAUUCAGCCCAUGACAAUUGAUAGGUUAAAAAAAAGAUUUCUACUCAUUGGAGAACAUCUACAUGUGAAUUCACACAUAAAAUUUUCAAAAUUAUCAUCACAUAUAAUGCUUAUUUUUCUUUCUUCAUUCUUUAUUCAAAUAGUGAUUUACAAUGGUUGGACAGUUGAACUGGUGGAAUUGUUUUCUGACCCUCACUCCUAUUGAACCUCUAAUAUCGUUUUUAAAGCAUUACCUCUAAAUGGUGGACUAAAAAUCAUCAGUGUUUUUUAUUGAAAGAUGGGCACGUGGAAAUCUUUAAUUAAGGGCCAUCAACUUUGGUUUAUACAUCUAUCUAUAGAAUUUCUUUAAUGGACGACCUUAUUCUUACUUUAAUAAAAUUCCAUCUACUUUAUUCGAAGAUAGUGCAAGUGAAUAUGGAGAUAUAUCCAUGUGAAAAAAUAUGGUUGUUAAAAAACGAUUCGUCUUUUGCCUAGAAUUCAUUCUUCGUCCUUUUAAACAUGGAGAGAGAGAGAGAGAGAGAGAGAGAGAGAGAGAGAGAGAGAGAGAGAGAGAGAGAGUCCCAUACCAACACAUGCUCACCAAACUUCCUUGAUUCAAUAUCAUAUUUUAUAUAAAGGGCUAUAUUUUUCUCCAUCCUUAAUUAAAAGCAACUUUCUUAAACCAUAAUUUUGAUUGGUGGAUUACAAAUUAUAGACAUCACCUACAUACAAAGAUAAGUGUGGAUGAUAUACAUGUUGUUUAAAAAACUCAGUGACCGUUACAAACUUGUUGAACUAAAAAAAAAAAUUAAAAUGCAUAUCUUCUUCUUGAACAAGAGAUUUUAAUAAGCACCAUUGAGCUCAAGGAAGUGUCGUUUGGAUCAUAGCAAAUCAUCCAUAGUAUCAAGUUUUCUCGAUAAGUAGCACCUGUACUACAUUUAUGGUGUUAAUCACAAAACAAGGGAUGCCCAUGGUCGCAGAUGCAUCUCCUAACUUUUUACUAAGAAAUCAAUUUUCUUAUCACGAGCACAAAAUCAGGGACAAAAAAAUGUAUUUUUAUCCAAGUAGGAUUUGUAAAUUUAUCUGCCAAAGUUGAUGGACAUUUGAGAGAAAUCAAAAGGGACAAUCUAUUUUGACAGAAGGCAGAUAAAAAUUUGAUCAGAAUCUAUUAAAUCCUUCAAACCCUACGUACCAAAAACUCAAAUUGCUACCAAUCGCUCCAAGGUUCCAUACCUCGCCUCACAAAGUGCACUAAGUGGAGGUUCAACAGAGUGCGAACUUAUGCGAAGCUAACUGCGGAGAAAAAUAAAAGACGAAUGCUAGCAGGGGAAACUCCUCAUGAGCUCCUCCUUCUAACUUCCCCAAACUUCCCUGCACAUGUGCUUAUCUGUUGUUUCCACUUUCUCGGCUUUUUCGUUCUCUUCUGAUAAGUAUGAGAUUAGCGGCUGGCCACAUUUUGUGAUGAUAAUCAAGCUUCUGAAUGACUUUUUGGGUGGGUUUUGGUGUUAUAUCUUAGAAAUCCUUACAAUAAAUAUUCGACAAGUAAGACUUUGCUAAGCGGGUCCAAUUUCCCGUUUACCCACAAUGGAGGAGGCCUCUCCAGCACCAAUAAAAACACCAGAAUAAGCGGGCAAUCGCACCCCAGAGUAAAAUUGAAUCCCGGCCACGAAGCAAGGUAUGGUUUUAAUUAGCGCAUGUUUUCCCAAUUAAAGAAUACUAAAAGAAAUGAUAACAACCAAUAAAAAGUCAACAAAAAAGUUCGCCUAUGAAUUUUAAAUAUUUGUAAAACAAAAAAAUGUAUCUUUAAAACCACCGCUUGCGGUGACCUAGUUGGAUAAGGCUCUCAUGAUCCUUUGCAAGGAAGAGAGGAGUUCGAAUCCCGCUGGCCGCAUGGGAUCUUAAGUGCGACGUCGGAGUGGUGGGUCCUCCGCUAGCGUCGCCUCAGGGUUUGCCCACCGGCUAUCGGCUUACGGGGUUCCCCGGGUCAUCAAAAAAAAAAAAUAUGUAUCUUUAAUUAUUUCUUCACCCAGAAAAAUGAGAUGCCUAAGUAUUACAUUAGCAUCUAAUAUACCUAGCCACAUUUAGUGAUGACGUGGCACCGAGGCAGCCGCAAUUACAUUUCUAUUUGCAAUUUUAACAGAAGAACUGACUUGAGUAAAAAAGCGUCCUAGAAAACACAUUAAUAAAAAAAAAAAAAAAAAGCAUAUAGACAACACUGAACUCAUCGAAAAAUUGCAUCACUGAUCUUUUCGUUAUCUCUAAAUUUUUGGCACAAAUUUUAUGAAGAGGGAUUUUAAAGAAGUUCUGUUUUGUCAGUGUUCCGUUUAUCUUUGGCAGAAAAUCACUUGCAAUCAUGGAUGUGCGCAAGUUGGACAAAACUAGAGUGAUGAAUUCUGUCCUCAUCAUUUCUAAAUGUCCUUGACUUUGAUUUUGUGCGGCCUCGAUUCAGAGGAAGGGAUUGCUUUGCUGGUGUUGGGAGGUUUAAAGAAGCAGAUUGACUCAUCAAAGAAACGGAAUACAUCACGAGAUCCGGUUUAAGUUCAAGAGGGCUUGGGCUGGACGAGAAGAAACGAGAAAUAACGGAAAUUUUUAAUAUUUCUUCCCCAAGAAAGAUGAAAUACAUCAAUAUUGUAUUAGCAUUUAAUGUACCUUAGCUACGUUUGGUGAUGAAAACUAAGUCUUCUAUGUUAUAAGAUUUUCAUCGCUGCUGUAGCUUCAGCCAUUCUUCUAUCUCUCACACACUAAGUGCUUCUGAUUUUUUUUUUUUUUUGGGUCUAAUUUCUAAUAAUUUUAUCUCAGUCAAUAGAAAAAUUUCCAUCUUUUCUCUAAUUUAUCUGAUCAACAUUGAGACGUUAUUGAAGGCAAACAUGUCAACAUCUUGGUUUGCAAUAUAUAUAGGGACCACAUUGGUAAAAAAAAAAAAGUACAUGGGCUCACAUCAAACAAAUUAAAAAAACACAGAUACUAGAGAUUUCAUUUUCUCUAAACAUUACGCAUAAACUUUAUUAAUAGAUUAUGGAUGCUUUAAUCUUCUUCCACCAUAGUGGGGCUGUGGGGUAAUAACAUUUUUAAGAAAGUCAUCUACAAGUCUCAAAUUCUAUUCCCCUCUCCACAUGUAUCAUUUUUUCUAACGUUACGUAAGUCUCAAAGAGCAGCAUGUCGAAAGUUAAUUUCCACUAUCGACACCUUGACACUAACGCAAGUAUCGAUUCUUUCCACUAUUGUGGAGGGAAGCCAAUACGUCGCCCAUCUUCACUUUGAUUUGCGUGGCCAUCCGAUCCUAUUCCAAUAACAACUACCAAAAUAUCUCUGGAGUCUACCAUAGGGGUGGUAUUCUUGCCAAUUUAGAGGAAAUGAUUGUUUUGGUGGUUUUGGACACGGUAGAGGGAAGGAUUUUUUUGGCUGUUUGGAAGGAUUGUUUUGGUGGUUUUGGAUAUAGUGGAGGGCUAAAGAAGUGAAUUGCCUCUUUAAAGAUUGCGUGGAUUGCAAGCACACGUGGAUCAUUCUUUGGGGCAAGAGAAAAGGCAAAAGCUUGCUAAAGUCCCAAGGGCUUGUGCUUUAAGAGGAGAAACACAUCAGUAAGAACACCAUCCCCAAUCACCAAAAAUCACCGAGAGGCUCCUUUUAUGUUCUGAGAUACUUGGUUUGAUAGCUCGAAGCUGUGCGUGAAGAUAAUCCUUCGAUUGCACCAUCUUUCGGUACUCGAACACAACUUGAUCUAUUUCAAGGUAACUUACUCUCAAACACAAAAUAUUUAAUUAUUACUCAUUGUGGAUCAUCUAACAUCAUUUAAAGUAUAAAAAUGUAAGGUGUGAAAUUCGCGUGUGACUUUUUCAGAAUUUUCAUUACACAUAUUGCUCAUUUCUUUUGCUAUAAUCUUUUUAUUCAAACUGGUUGAUAUAAAUUCUUGGAUUGGUUGAACCUGGUGAAAUAGCAUAUUGGCCCUCACUCCACAGUUCUAUGCCUCUCACACAAAGUGCACAAAGUGAGGAUCCGACCGGGUCCAAAUUUAUGUGAAACUGAAUAUGAGAAAAAUAAACGGUAUAAGAAAAAUAAUAAUCGUAUGGCAAAANNNNNNNNNNNNNNNNNNNNNNNNNNNNNNNNNNNNNNNNNNNNNNNNNNNNNNNNNNNNNNNNNNNNNNNNNNNNNNNNNNNNNNNNNNNNNNNNNNNNNNNNNNNNNNNNNNNNNNNNNNNNNNNNNNNNNNNNNNNNNNNNNNNNNNNNNNNNNNNNNNNNNNNNNNNNNNNNNNNNNNNNNNNNNNNNNNNNNNNNNNNNNNNNNNNNNNNNNNNNNNNNNNNNNNNNNNNNNNNNNNNNNNNNNAAAACACUGGUAUUUAUAAACCUAAUAUUAGUAUAAGCGUUCCCUAUAUGGACAACAAUCGCCCACACAACUCCAUUCUUCAUUCCUCCUCUUUCGUAACUUCCAGCUUCAAGGGCGAAUGCAACUCAUGGUGGGCUCCUCUCAGUUACUCCUAUUAUCGUGGCCAAGUUCUCCGAACUUCUUACAAUUCGGCCUAGCUUGGGCGAAUUGCAUAUUCAGCUUAGCUAGAACGAGGGACCACCAUUCUAUUAAAAUUUCUUCUUUUCAAGAAACACUUUUCAAUGGGUGUAACUAACUACGACUUAAGUAUUUCUUUAACCAUUUUUUUUUUUGGCGAUUUUUCAUAGUCAACGAUGGUGUUUUUUCAACUGCUAAACAGUUAGCACGGUUUAUUUCUUUUUCGAAACUUAGAUAAUAAUUUACCUCAUCAUAAAAAAUAUGUUGCUCUUAUGAGUCAAGCGAGACUUGUCCUCGAGCAUUAGGCCGAGCCAUCAACAACGAUGUCAGAUUACUCAUUUUGAAUAAAUAUUCAUCAUGAUCCUCCAUUUUUUCUAAGGUUAAAUUGACAUUAUUCACUUAAUUUCAGGUCAUGAAAGCAUUUUGACUAAAAAAAUCCAGUAUGGCAAAUCAAUAUAUAGACCAUUUUCAUCCAUGCAAAAGUUUCAAGCCAAUUUUUCGUACACAUGAUUUUCCAAUGGGAAAGAUUUUCAUAAUUCUCUCAAAACAUUAAGGUGCUUGACCGAGUUAACCACCGAAAAGAUUUUCACACAAACAAUAUAUGAAAUGCUAGGCAUGAAUAAAUUUAAAGAAGUUAGGGAAGACUGAUGGUUAAACGAUCCAAAUCAGCACCUACUUCGCUUCUCAAGACCAUUCGGUAUUUAUGGCCAUCCCACUAUUUUUGAAGUCUUAUAUAAAGGUUGGUUUAUAAUGGAGCCAACGCUCCUCUGCAAGCAAGGUGAAGUAAUUUACUAGGGGUGGCAAAUAGGUGGGUCGGGUUGAAAAUGGGUCAACCCAUGUUUGA